rnacentral:lncRNA from 1 species
AAAAACAAACUACUCAAUGCUCAUUAUCAGAGAUUUAAACAAAAAAUAUAUAUAAUUCAGAUUCAAAUAUUUAUCUUUAUUUAGAAUUUAGACUCAUUCAAGUUUUUUUAGAUCCAUUGAAGUUACAUUCAAAUCUGUUGAUAAUGAUGAUAGUCUUGAAAGUUGGGGUAAUCCAUUAAUGUCAUAAUGGGCUCGUCAAGAACAACCGUGCUGUUAAGAAAUAAUAACACUACUGAUCAUGUCAUUAGUAACGUGACUAAUAAUGAUAUCCUCACUUUAAUAAAAUGAAAAUAUUAUCACUAAAAACUAUUAUACAUACACACACAUACAAAUUGUCAUUUUGUUCCUAAUAGAAAACUAUAUCCCAAUUGUGUAACUUUACCAUUGUUAUUUAUAACAAUUCUUUGGCACAUUGCAAAUGAUAUGCAAACUUUGUCUACUUAUAAUUCUCUUGCAUGCCAAAUUGUAAUAUAAAUUUUUUUUCUUUUUUUAACGCUAUAAUGUCGAAUCACAACAAAUUCAGUUUGGAUUUUCCCUCUACUGUCCAGAAGAAUAGAUUUAAAACAUACAUAUUACAGCUGCUUCACAAUUAACGAUCGAUGGAUAUAAUGUUGGAUUGUUCUGGUAACUAGCAACAACACACACACACACCCCGAAAACUUAAAACCUAUCAAGAACCUGAUAAAUACACAUGACAUGAUUGCAUAUAUAUAUAUAAAAUGUUGAGAAUUGUGAUGAACUGUGAAGGCAAAGCAAGCUGGUGCUCGUCAUGUUAUAUGGGGGAAUUUAGCAGAGAAUUUGACUUUAUGCAAUGAGCCGCAUUCGCUUUUCUCUAUUUCCAAAUUUAAAUCGACACGGUUGUUUUAUUGUAAAACUCGAAUGUUUUUUUGGUACGACAUCCCCCGUCUUUUUCCAAUCAAUAAUCAAAUAUAUAUUUAAACAAAAUCUAUCAGCUGCUUCUACAUAAAUGUAUUUUAACCUAAUGCGAAUUUUCAAUCCCAUGCUUUUUACAUUACAUGUGACCUGCAUUUUAUAUUAUAUAGUAUUUUCAGUCACUCUUUCACGUGGCCAUGCUUGUCUCUCCCUCUCCUUCACGUCCAAUUUGUAUCUUAUUUAGCUAGCUAGCUAGCUAGCCAGCUACAUCCAUCAAUUAUUUUGAGUACUCAUGGAGUAAAUAGCUGCUAACUGUCAACUACCAAAUGACAAAUCCACAGCUUCGUUGAUUUAAACGUCUAAUUAUCUGCAAAAAAAAAAAAAAUCUUGAAUUUACAAAACUACAUGGAUGGAAGGCAAACAGCGUGUUGCCAAUACAUUUCAUUCAUUCAUAACAUCUAUUCUUUACUUACCGUAAGGUUAAAUUUCACCCCACCUUCCUUAAUAUUGACAUUCCUCGAUACACUCUCAAUAUUAUUUGCAAUUGGGUUUGUUGGGGGCUGGUUCUAGCAUCUAAUCUAAAAGACUAGUUUAUUAGAUAAAGGAGUUCAAUUAACUCUUGAAUGAAACCACAACUUAACAAUCUCUCUAUUGAAUGAAACCACUAACGACACCCCCCCUCCCCCCCCGGAUUUGUUCUACCAUCGCAUUUCGGUUAUUAGUAUCUAGUUUUGAUACCAAUUGUGAGUGAGCUGGCUUAUCCUACUUAUAAUCCUAAUUAACUUUGUUUAACUAACUAAUGUAGAACAUAACUCAAUAAGGUUAAUCGCCGAUCAAGAAUUACUUCAGAUCAUAUUAAAUUAAUUUUAACCAUUAAUUCAGUACUCAACAUAGCCUCGCCUUAGCAUCCAAUCGAGGAUUCAUUCAAAAUUGAAAAUUCUAAACUCUCGGUGGCUAAGAUUGUAAAUAUGACAAUAUAUAUAUGUUUAGACUUUAGUUAUAUUCUAAUGGGUGCCAAUUUCUCUUUCAAUCACGUGAGCGGAGUUGGAAUUUGAAAGUACAAAUCUCAUAUUUCCAUUCAAAAGUAAAUCUUUGGUUAAUAAUUUAUUUUAAAAGACAUGAAUAGGGUGGGGGGUGAUAUUUAUUAUUAACAAAACCCCGAUAGAUAGAAAAACGACAGGACAUCAUCUCCAAGGUCCAAGCAGCGAAGAAAUAGAAGAGAAGAGCCAAAAAGAAAAAGAGAGCAAAAAGCUAAAGAAGAGAAAGAUCAAAUCUUUGAACAGGAGAAGAAGAAGCAGAACAAGAGCCAUAUGAUAAAAGGGUUUUAACCAAAUGGACGUAAGUUAAAAGAAUGUAGGGACCGCACCAGACCCGCAUUAGCAGUGGAUAUGGGGCCCGUUCAGAAAUCAAAGAGCUUGAAAAGGACUGAUGCGGUUCAGAUCUUUCGAAAGCUCUGAAAACCCACUUCAAUAUUUGUGCCCCCCUCACGUGUUGCAUGUAGUUUUUGCUAAAUUUUCUUUUCUUUUCUUUUUUUUUUCCCCCUCGAGGGGCUGCCUGAACUGAACUCAUCACACCAUUCACCCCCCAAAAAAAGGACGAUUCCCUAAAAGACGUUUCGCUUUUACACGCCAUAUUGAAUAUUUAAUAAUGGGGAUAUGCGAGCUGAAAACAACACUGUGGGGGGACAGUAAAGUAUAUAUUUUAUCCUCGUUAAGUGUGAAUAUUAUUUUUGGUUCAUCAGCCGCUUGUCUUUAUCUCGUUCAUGUUGUGAGUUUCGCUUAAAAGUCUUAAAAGGUUAAAGGCUGGCCAGUGGCUAGGCUCUCGAGUCAAACGAGCCACGAGAAUUAUUAAUUAAAAAAGGGUGCCAUAGAUUAUUAGAGGGGAGUAGAAAAAGCUAUGCUCGAAUUGCCAUAUAUUAAAUUAAAAAGAAAAAAAAAAAAGGGGAGAGAAGUGCAAGUAGUAAAAAGUGGGGAUGGGGGAUGUUGCAGCAUCAUGCAAAAUGUCAAACGCUACGUUGCAAUUUUUGGGGAACUGAGGGGUUGACAGUUCCCUCUCGAGUCUCGACCGCAGCCCUGUGCCAGCCCUCCUCUUUCUGUCUUUUACUUGCUUAGCUUCGACCUGUCUAUCUUUUUCUCUUUUUAAUUACCCUUCCAUUCCACGAAUUGAUUUUUUAUUUAUUUAUUUUUUUAUUUAACUCACCCAUUUGGCAUGUUGAUCGCUUGUCAUCGGCAGUACUGUCUAAAAUAAGAAAAAUGAUGAGAGAGGACGAUUUCUUUCUCUCUCUUUUUUUUUUUUCUUUUUUAUAAAAGUAGUCUUAAUUUUCAUUUUUCCUUUUACUUAUCCUUUUCGGUAAUGCAUUAAGUCUGCAUUAAUUGAUUUACCUACCGCGUUGCCGAUUGAGGUUAUGGUAGUUUUGAGCCAUAAUUAAUCAGUUCGUUGCUGUUGAAUUAUAUAUACAUAUAUAUAUAUAUAUAUUCUCCAGCCAUUAACGAAGCAAGGGAACACAUCUCGGGCAGUUAUAAGUAAUUAAUAAUUCUGAUAGCGACACUGCGAGUCAAACAUAUAUUACUGCACUUAAUUUACUACGCCUUGUCAGUUGUUAUUUCCUAGGUAAUUAAUUAAAAAAAAAAAAAGGUUCAGUCUCCACAAAUUUCUCAUUUAUAAUCAUUAGUUGUUAUAUAAUUUUUUCUAACAAAAAAUAAAAUAUAUAUAAGUUCAUAUGCCAUUAUGAUUUGUUUACCCCUGAUUAACUGCUUCAAUAGAAAAAUUAUUGCCAAUGUCGAGUCCCCCCGUUUUUUUUAUAUUAAAUUUCACGAUGCACGACAACUUCAAAUUGUAUAUAUAAAUAUAAAUUAAUAGGUUUAAUUAAUAUUCUAGAUGUAAUCAUUUUUAUAUCAUGGCGGAGGACUCAACAAGUAGAUGUAUCCGUAUUUUGAUGUUUCGACACUAUUAAUAAACGAAUCGUAUUCAUAUUUACUUAAAUUUAACGCGACAAAACACUUAGUAAAAUGCGAUACAAUUACAUGAAUGAAUUGAUAACCCUAGUUACUUUACAUUGCCAAACUGGGUAUAGAAGUAGACUAUAUGAUUUCAAUAUAAUAAUAAUAAUACUCCACAGUCUGUAACAAGUUUUUUUUUGGAGAGAGGGGUACUGUGUUUGCAGUUUCCCAUUUCUAAAAAUAUCAUCACCAUCAUUAUUUUUUCCGGUUCUGUUUUUAGGCAAUGAUGGAUAAAUUACAUCAUAUACCCGUCAUUCUAGGUUGUAGCCAUUAUACGUACGAGACAUCUUACUGAUAAUUUCAUUUCAUUCGAAGCUAUUCUGUCCCGCAUUUGUUUUGUUUUUUUGUUUUUUUUUUAAUAAUUAAAAAUAUACAUAAAGUGUUAAGCUAUUUUAACAUAAAAAUUUUACUUAAAAUUUAAAUAUAAAUAUUAAGUAAUUUAAUGACAAGUAUUAAAAGUUGAAAUAGUUUUUAAUGAUGAUUAUUCAUUUAUUAUUGGAUUACUUGAAAUUAAUGGUUCAAAAUUUAUAUCAAAUUUUAAGUUAAGAAUUUAAGUAAAAUUACCCUAUCUAUACUUAGGGAAAAUUCUUCAUUAUGGCAUCAAAUAUCGUGAUAGACAUAAAUAUUAUAAAUUACAUAUAGAAUUAGUAAAUAUAAAAUAAAAUCAGUAAAUUCAUACAAGAUUAUUAAUUAUUUAAUAAAUUAACUUUGUUUCUAUAGAAUUUUAGUGAAGAAUAUUUUAUUCAUUUACAAAAAAAUAUUUUCUUUAAUUAAAUAAAAAAAUUACUCAUUAAUUAAACAAAAAAUUAAAUUGAAAAAAAGUAGAAUACGUUUUAUUGAAUUAGUUACCAUAAAUUCUAUAUUUAUUUUAGGACAUUUGUAUACUUUUUUUCUCCAUUUCUAUAAUGAUAUCUAUUUAUUACACAUGUUAAUUAAGCGCAAUUAUUUAUCUUGAUGUGGAUCAAGUAAAAACAAAAUAAAAAAAAAUAUUUUUAUAUUACUAGACACAUAUAUAAUAUAUCAAUAAAAUUAGAUUUAAUUUUGAGUAUUAUGCAUACUUUAUGUAGUUUCGAACUUUUUACUUGUAUUUGAAAACCAUUUAGGGUUGUUGAGGAAGUGUAGAAAGACGCAAAAAAAUCUCUUACAACAACUAUGAAAGAUAUUAAAAAUAAUAUUUUCUUCAAAAUCUGAUUUUGAGCAUAAAUUUCAUCCUUAAUAAAACAUCACAUGUAUUACAAAAAUACAAAACUAACAUUAUUCAAUUUAAAUAAAAAAAAUCAAUAAAUGUAUAAGGUAAUAAACACUAUAAUGAGUUUUUAUUUUACAAUUGUGAGCUUCCUUUUUCUUGCAGUAACUAUUAUAUUAAUUAAUUUAUUUUACCUUUUAUUCAUAAGUAUUAGGCAUAAUCUACAAACUUUUAUGUUCUAUUUUGCAUUUAAUGUUGAUUUACUUGUUUUAUGUUAUAUUUAUAAGUUUUCAUUUUAUUUACCAGUAAUACAUCAAUUUAUUAGUUUCAUAGUAAUUUAGUUAUUUUACCUUCCUUUUUACAAGUCUUGUGUUUCAUUUCCAAAAUUUAUAUUUUAUUUUACAAUUAGUAUUGAUUUACUUAGUUUUAUGUUAUAUUUGCAAUUUUUUGUUUUAUUUACCAAUAAUACAAUAAUUUGCUAGUUUAUAUUGAUUUACUUGUUUUACCUUUCAUUUACAAGUCUUAUGUUCUAUUUUCAAAAUUUAUGUUUUGUUUAGGGCUUAAUGUUGAUUUACUAGUUUUAUGUUAUAUUUAUAAAUUUUUAUUUUAUUUACCAGUAAUACAUGAAUUUAGCAGUUUUAUAGUAAUUUACUUGUUUUACCUCCUAUUUACAAGUCUUUUGUUCCGUUUUCAAAAUUUAUAUUUUAUUUUACAGUUAAUGUUAAUUUACUAGUUUUAAGUUAUAUUUGCAAGUUUUGGUUUUGUUUACUAAUAAUACAUCGAUUUACUAGCUUUAUAUUAAUUUACUUGUUUUAUUUUCCAUUUACAAAUCUUUUGUCUAAUUUCUAAAAAUUAUGUUUUAUUUUACACUUAAUGUUGAUUUACGAGUUUUAUUUUAUAGUUGCAAGUUUUUGUUUUAUUUACUAAUAAUACAUCAAUUUACUAGUUUUAUAUUAAUUUACUCGUUUUACUUUCCAUUUACAAGUUUAUGUUUAAUUUCUAAAAUUUAUGUUUUAUUUUAUAGUUAAUAUUGAUUUACAAAUUUUAUGUUCAAUUUAUAAGAUUUAUGUUUCAUUUACAUAAUUUAUGUUUAAUUACGGCAUUAAUGCUGUAACUUUAAUCAUGAAAUCAUAAAACAAAAACUUAGAAUCACUAAAUUCAAAAUAGGCUAAAUUAUCUCUAAAUUUUAAAAACAAAAUGAACACUCUCUCGUAGAGAAGGAUUGAACAAAAUCUUUUGCACAAAGAAUAAUGUGCUAUUCAACUAUUGACUGAUUUUAAGAUCUCAUCCAAUUCUACAUUUAAGACUUGUGAAAAUUUAAUUACUUUUUCAAAAAUCUUGAUCACGACAAGAAUAACCUCUCAUCGUGUGAGCAGUUUUUACCAAAAUUUUUAAUAACUUCUCAUGUGAGCGAUUUUAAACUUCGAAUUAUGAAACUAUAAUUUUUUAACACAAGAAAUUUUACAUAUUUCAACUCGAUGCCAUUGACAAUUAAAAAAAUUAAAACAUAAAGAAAAAUAUAUAAUAUUAUUAUUUCUUCGCUGAAUAAUAUUUUAACAUUUGCAAUAAAUAAAGUGGAAAAGAAAAAGAAGAAGAAGAAGAAGCUUUAAUUAAAAGAAAGUACACUAUUAAGAAAAAAAAUGAAAGUACAAAUGUACAAUGCGUUGAUACACUGGUUAAUAAAAUAAUUGUUAAAAGGAAAAAAAAAUGAAAAAGAAAUAGGAAAAAUGAAAAGGGUGGGGUUUGAGUGGUGGCUGCCUGCCUUGGCAAACACAAGAGACGAGGAUCAUAGGCAAUGGUCGUUUCCCCAGUCAUCAUAGCGAAGAAGUCAAAUAGGCAACGACGAAACUUCUUCACAAUAACUAUUAACUACAGGGCUUGGCAUGCACUCUCUCUCCUCCAAAGACACACUCAUCAGCCAGCCUAUCUAUCAUGUCACUCCUCCACCUGCUCCCCUCUCCUCUUUCUCUUUCUUUAUUUCAAUGCCCUCUGUUUAAUCAUCAAUCCCCAUUUUGCAAUUUGCAUGCUGUCAUUUCAUUUCCAAAAACCCCCCAAACCGGCUACAUCCACACACACAAAGACGCUUAGCUAAAAUCCACCCACUCCCCCCCCNNNNNNNNNNNNNNNNNNNNNNNNNNNNNNNNNNNNNNNNNNNNNNNNNNNNNNNNNNNNNNNNNNNNNNNNNNNNNNNNNNNNNNNNNNNNNNNNNNNNNNNNNNNNNNNNNNNNNNNNNNNNNNNNNNNNNNNNNNNNNNNNNNNNNNNNNNNNNNNNNNNNNNNNNNNNNNNNNNNNNNNNNNNNNNNNNNNNNNNNNNNNNNNNNNNNNNNNNNNNNNNNNNNNNNNNNNNNNNNNNNNNNNNNNNNNNNNNNNNNNNNNNNNNNNNNNNNNNNNNNNNNNNNNNNNNNNNNNNNNNNNNNNNNNNNNNNACAACCAUUCGCCAUUCACCGCAACAUUUCUUUCUUGGUUAUGAAACUCACAAGCAUCCAAAACGCAAAGUUUCGGCCAAUUUUUAAUUAUAUAUGUUGGUUUAUAUAAUAAAUAAGCGCAAAAGCAAAAAGGGGGGUUUGGUUUGCAUAGAAUACGGUGAACGGGUCGAAGAAGGACUAAGAAUCCCAAAGCCCCCGCUGUCCCAAUCCUUGCACCGUUUUCUGUUUGGAAGCCCCUAUCUCUAUCCCUGGUCUCUCUUUCCACCUAUGAAACCGGAUAAGUACCUGCACGAUCUCUCCUAUUUCCUCUUAAUUCCUCUUCCCGGACUCCACUCUCUUUAUGAUCAUGGCUGCUGCUUGUGGUUUGCGAGUUAAUAAUAAUAAUAACAACAACAACAACAAUGGCUGUAAUAACAACAACAGCAACAGUAUUAUUAGUGGCGGUGGUGGUGAUGAUCAUCAGAGUCCAACAAUAAUGACAAGCGCCUCCAAUAGCACCAGCGGCAGCAAUAACGAGGGUAAGAUGGUGAGAAAGAGGACGGCUUCGGAGAUGGAGGUGCAGCAGCAGCAGCUGUAUAGUGGGAGUAGUGAUUAUUAUCGUAGCAGGUUGCCCAGAAGAAAUAACCCAAUCAAUCAAGCCCCCACCGCCACCCCAUCAGCAAUCCCCAACUACUCCACUAUGUCGUCUUUCAAUGAUAAUGUCAAUAUGAGUACGCUAACGCUGCCACCUUCUUCCCUCAUCAACAACGUGACGUCAGGUGCUUCUGGAUUUUUGUCUACUGCUACAUCAGCAGCAACGAGAACCACUACAAACUUUAGUUGCAUUGACAAUCUUUCCCCUCAUAAUAAUCACCAACAGCCGCAGCCUCCUCCUCCUGCUGUUUGUGGCUUCUCGGGUCUGCCUUUGUUCCCACCGGCUGAUCAUCACCAGAGAAAUCGAAACGCGGCGUCCAUCGGCUUGAUUCCGGCCGCCCCCAGUUGUACUAGUGCUAAUAAUCUUGCUUCUUCUAUGGAGGAUAGCUCGGCCACGGCUUGGAUCGACGGCAUCAUAAAGGACCUUAUCCAUAAUUCAGCCAACGUGUCGAUUCCUCAACUCAUCCACAACGUCAGGGAGAUCAUCUUCCCUUGUAACCCUAAUCUUGCUGCCCUCCUCGAGUACCGCCUCCGCUCUCUUAAUUCUGAGCCACUAUUGGAGAGAUCAAGGAACAAAGACGCGGCGUUGCCUUUGCAUAUGCUGCAAAGGGCAAACUACUAUAUCAAUAAUAACAAUACUCCGCAGCAGCAGCAGCAGCAGCAGCAAGGCUCUUCUGGGCUUACUCUCAAUCUUGACAACGUCUCUAAUUACUCGCUACAAGAUUCAUCGUUCUUGAACUGGCCGGGAUUAACACCACUGCCGCCCCAUAUUCACGAGCAUCAUCCAUCUGCUGUCACAGCAUCUCUUGCAUUAACUCAAGUGCAACCCCAACCCCAACCCCAGCCCCAGCCCCAGCCUCAGCCUCAGCCUCAGGAACUACAUCAGCAGCAACAAGAAGAUCAAAACGAAAACUCAUCGCCUGUGGAGACAAUGACAGCGGCAACAACAGCUCCUACCCCACCAUCUCUGGCGGUUGUUAACGCUAGCAUAAGAGAGAAGAAAGAAGAGAUAAGGCAGCAGAAGCGAGACGAAGAGGGCUUGCACUUACUGACGUUGCUCUUGCAAUGCGCGGAGGCAGUCUCGGCCGAUAACUUGGAGGAAGCGAACAAGAUGCUGCUCGAAAUUUCUCAACUCUCGACUCCAUACGGAACUUCAGCUCAGCGUGUGGCUGCUUACUUCUCGGAAGCAAUGUCAGCGAGGCUGGUGAGCUCCUGCCUCGGAAUAUACGCGGCGCUGCCUUCUCUGCCCCAGACUCACACCCAGAAGAUGGUAUCAGCCUUCCAGGUUUUUAAUGGCAUUAGUCCCUUUGUAAAGUUCUCUCAUUUCACGGCCAAUCAGGCCAUUCAGGAAGCAUUUGAAAGAGAGGACAGGGUGCACAUCAUUGAUCUAGACAUCAUGCAAGGCCUUCAAUGGCCUGGACUCUUUCACAUCCUAGCUUCUAGACCCGGUGGCCCUCCGUACGUGCGGCUUACGGGACUGGGUACCUCCAUGGAGGCUCUAGAGGCCACGGGCAAGCGGCUGUCUGAUUUUGCCGAGAAGCUUGGACUUCCCUUCGAGUUCUGUCCGGUUGCUGAAAAAGUUGGGAAUUUAGAUCCGGAGAGGCUCAAUAUCAGCAAGAGGGAAGCCGUUGCCGUUCAUUGGUUGCAGCAUUCUCUCUACGACGUCACUGGUUCUGAUACGAAUACUCUUUGUCUUUUGCAAAGGUAAUUUUAUUUUUCUAAGCGCUGCACCUAUGUGUCUAUCAUUUCACAUACUAUAUAGAUUGACGUGGUACUGCGAUUCUAUCAUAAUGCUUUACUAUAUUCAAAAUUAGAGAACUAGUAUCCUCUUCUGAUUAGAGCUAUUGAGAUUUUAAUGAUAUUGUGGCGCGAUACUUGACAAACACCAAUGCUGGAGGUGCAAGUAGGAAUGUUUGCCUCCAUGGUGAAGGGUUUCUUGUGUGGUGAUCCUGUGCGUAAUUAAUUGCUAAUACACAUGCAUUACAAUUGACAAAUUGACAUAUUUGUUGAUCAGACUGGCACCGAAAGUAGUGACGGUAGUGGAACAGGACCUGAGUCCGGCAGGAUCAUUUCUGGGGAGGUUUGUGGAGGCGAUACACUACUACUCAGCACUAUUCGACUCGUUGGGAGCAAGCUACGGGGAGGAGAGCGAAGAGAGGCAUGUGGUGGAGCAGCAGUUGCUGUCGAGGGAGAUACGAAACGUGCUAGCAGUGGGAGGACCUUCUAGGAGUGGAGACGUGAAGUUUCAUAACUGGAGGGAAAAGCUGCAGCGGUCGGGGUUCAAGGGUAUAUCUCUAGCCGGGAAUGCAGCCACGCAGGCCACCUUGCUGCUUGGGAUGUUCCCUUGUGAUGGUUACACACUGGUGGAGGACAAUGGCACUUUGAAGCUCGGUUGGAAGGAUCUUUGCUUGCUCACUGCUUCUGCUUGGAGGCCCUUAAUUCAUCACCCUUGCAAUAAUAUCAAUGCUAUUUCUACUCGCUACUCCCACUAGUAGUUGCAAACCGUAUGGUUGUCGGGUGGUUUACUUGUUAGGACUUUUUAUCGCAAAAUGACUUCCGAGUGUAUCCAUAGUGUCUACGAUUCACCUCCUUUGUUUAUUUACUGGCGUUUUGUGAGAUCUCUCUAUGUUUUGCAUUUUAUUCGACCUGAUGGCGCUUUACGGAUUGGCUGCCUUUUCCUCAAAAUUGGACGGCCCCUUUCAGGUUUAAAAGUAUGUUGGUUCUCAAAAAUGAACGAGAUAUUUCCAUAAAUUCUGUUUUAUAGUGGUUCGAAACUAUUGAUCAUGAUUGGUCAAAAUGAAUACGAGAUCGUUGAUCCAUUUUCCCAGGUCAUUAAAUUACGGAAGCCUGCUUUUGUUAAUAACAUAAUGAUAUUUAUACUAAAUUGAUAUGCGACUCUUGUGUGCUCUUGUUGCUGCAUUCAUGCGUUCAGCUUCAUGGGUGCGUAUUUUGAUAUUGAAAAAUGAUAUAUAGCUACUAACAAAAUAUUACCAUAACAUAAACGGUAAUAUAAACAGUAUUAUUAAUUUAUGUUCUAUGAUGAAACUGUAGUAUAACAAUACAAUUUUUCUUUCUUGCUAGUAUCUUGAUAGUGUUGGUCGUUGAUAUUUUUACUAUAGCCCAAUUGUACGUACGCGGGUGAACGCAUCUCAAAACAAGAAAACAAUUAAUGCGAAGGAAGUUUAAAAAAAAAAACUGAAAAAAUUAACUGAAUGAAUUGGCUAAACCGCAAGUUAGGCAUAAUAAUGCAAACCUACCCACUUGUUCGUAUAUUAACUUGACACACAAUAAUAAAAUCAGUCCAUCACUCCAUCUGUCUGUCGUUGAUUGACCUGACAAAAAUUAAAUUUAAAUCAAACAAAUUGCUGUCCCGACAUAAGAAUACACGCUCCUCCGUAGGACACAAAGGAAUAUUCAGCUUCUUGAAUCUGUAAUCAUUUACAUUAUGAAUGGCUAUGGGAACUUUUAGUACAAAAAUAUUUUUCAAGGUCUUCCACUUCACUCUAAAUCUCUAAUUCAAUUACCAAAACAAGCAAAGAAUGAAGCUCUUCCUGUCACUCCUUGCAUUGUCAAAGAAAUACCAUUAUAAAACCUGAAAUCUUCAUGCCUAUGCCUAUGAGCGGUACUCACCUCCAGGGAACUCAAUCCCCCUCUUUCUGGAAACUAGGUAAACAUUUCCAUUCCUUUCAUCUAUCAAAGAAUAAAAAAUCAGUUCACCAGAUUCGUCGUGGAUGUUGCUUCUCUGUAACCCAAUAAGCUUGGUGAAGCUGGAAGAAAAAUUAUCAGCAACCAGAAAAGAGACAUCCAUACAUUCAUGCUUCUUGAACCAAAAUUUUCCAUAGACUUUUAGGAGUAAAACCUUAAGUACCAGCAUUUCAAGGAUGUACAUUGCACUCACUCAAUAGCUGAUCUUCUUGGUUCAAAAACUUCUUCCAGAAUUUUUUAUAUCUUGGAAUUCCCAGCUCCAGCCAAGGUUUCAUGUUUCCAUUAUAGUGCAAAACUGCAGCUUUCUUAAUGGCUUCGAUAUUAAGCCCAUAAUCAUGACCGAGUCCUGACAAUGCCCACACCCCAUCAAGAGCAUAAACAAGGUCCUGAAAGGUGAGCAAACUUCCACGCAAAGCAACAGCUUCCUUUGAUUCCUCUCCCAUGCUGACCUGCAAUCAUAUGGUGAAAUGGAUCAGAACUUUAUGAUUAAUAACAUAAUAGUCUUAAAAAUAGUUUAUUGGUCCUAAUUAUAACCAUUAUUACAUCAGAAGAACGAGAUCAUUUCUCAGAAGUUUCAGCCAGCAGUCAAAGCGGUAGGCAUGGCAUCUAAAAUUAAAAGGGAAGGUGAAAUGAUGGGGCCAGUGGUCCAAUUACCAUCACGACCCAUUUACACAGAGCAAUGCGCAUUUAUUGUCAUAAAUAGAAGUAACAAAAUUUAAAAGCAUCAUUGAACCAUGAACAUAUAUUAGCAUAACAGCUCAGAGAAAGAUAUCUUAGCAAAAUAAACAUCACUCACCUCUCUUACCAACCUCUGGUAGGUUUUAGUAAGAUCUAGCUCUCUCCAUCUGGCCAGAUCAACUAUAUUCAAUCCAGACAUCCAAGCACAAGAAUUUUUAUCAUAACUGUUUUCACCCAAAUAACUCUUCAGCUGACCUAAACUUACUGAGCAGGAUUGCACCGCACCAUUUACUUUACCUCCCAUGUUGAUGUCCCAUAGUGCUGACAAGUCUUUCUGAACAACAACAUCAUCAUCCAGAACUACAACCUUUGUUAAACUCUGAAAUAUCUCAGGAAGAAGAUAGUGCAAAUGAGAGAAAACUGAUAUAUACUGCAUUUUACUAUGGAUUGAUGGACCAUCAACACUGAGUAAGGAAACUCGAUACUCCACAGGCAAGAACAUAUGAAUAAGAAUUGCUUUAUCAUGAGACUCUAAGUUAAGUUGUUCAAUAUUCAACACUUGCACUGUGGCUUCCUUAAAAGUGUUUCUGAAGAACCACAGUUUCAUUGCAAAGUAAUUCUGUCCAUCAGUCAGCACAUGAAAAACCUGAUUCUUAUUUUCCUGUAAAAAAAUGCAGGAAAGAAAGUCAGCAUCCUUACUAAAUUGCAUGCAUAUUGACAAUAAAAAAUUGCAUGGAGGAACAUUUAACGUACUCUUGCACAUAAGACAGUUGAGUUGAUUAAAACCGAUGAUGCAAGUACAUUAGUGGAGAAUAUAACAUAGUGAUGCAAGGAGGGAUCUGAAAAUCUAUCAGCCUGAGAAAGCUCCAUGACCACUGAAGGAGAUUUGAAAUAUUCCACAGUUAACCUCAUAGACAAGCAGUGAAGACUUUUUGGCAUGGUCUGGACUGCAAGUUGGUAGAGGAAUGCACUCUGCUUCAUGUGGAAGUUAGCUUCAUCAUUGGUCAUGUCAAGAAUUUGCCUGAAUUUCUUGUCGACAUUACUACAAUCCACAGGGACUGAUUUAGCUUUGGUUAUUGCAGCUUCCAUCCUCUGAAUCUUCUUUUCAAUCCUAUUACAAUGGCAAUAUUCAUCUUAGUGUCUAUAGAGUUUGACUAUCAUUUCAACAGAAGCAAACAACAAAAUGUCAACAGGACAGAUGUACCCUUGGAAAACAUUAAGCAUGUAUACGAAGCUGAGUAAAUGCUAUACUGUAAAAUGAUUAAACUAGAAAUGGGGCUUAAAGAGCCAUGAACCAAGCCUAUCUUGGAAUUGGACAUUCCACAUCUUAAAUAUGGAAUAAACCAACACACGCAGAUGCAGUACAGCUAAUAAUGAUAAAAUCCAACCAAAGCAAAAAUGAGAUGGGUCAGAAACAUUUAGUUGAUAGUCCGUGUAAUGUUUGGGAUGCAAAAUCCAAGGACUCUUCAGGUGCACAAACAAAUUUAUAUUCAUGAGGCAAGCAAAUUCAUGAUGUGCAAAAGGAUGCCCAAAAAAUCUACACAAAGCUUUAUAAUUAAGAAGAUGCAUCAGUAAAUGUGACCUAUGUACUCAUCAAGUGGAAGAUAGAAAAACCAUGCUAUCUUGCACAACCUACCCUGGAGGAAGAUCCACAUCUGUGGCACUUUCACUAAGAACACGCUCCACCUCUUGAAUAUUUUGUCUCAGUGCACGAGUUAACUUAUCCUGUGAUGGAAGUUUUGCAAUACUUGGGUAGUAAGCUCGAGCCACAAAAAGCUGGUCUUUCAAUUUCUUUACCAUAGUGUCCUUCAUUUCUUCCCUAUGUUCUCUACGCCAAAGGCAGUAGCUCCCAAAUUUCAAUUCACAGUUUUCAUUUUCAUCAACACCACCUCGUCCAGAAUCAGCGACAGUACCAGCAAUUUUAGAAUUCUGCACAGCAGAUUUACUGAAUCUCAGAGGCUUUGCAAGCUUUAAAAAUUUACAUAAAAUUGGAAAAAAUAUGCAUGCAUACACUUGUAUUUGGAAGUGAUUGUGGCACAGCAGGAGGCGAAACUGGUGUAACUGUUGAUUGUUUUAGAGAAGGAGGGGAAAAAAAAUUCAAUUAGCAUCAUCAAGAGGGCAAGAAGAAGAGCAAACACUUUGGGAAAAAUGAAUUAUCUUGGACCUUUGCUGUGAUGACUAGUGUCAGUGGCACUCAUAUCAGAUGUUUCAGUUUUAGCUCCAUCGGGGAAAUUGCUGCGAACAUCCUGACAGGCAAAGUUCGUGAUGAAAAACAACAAAACAUCCUUUUGAAUUCCUAUGCUAAAUCAAAAAAAUACUUAAGACUUGUAUACAGUCUUUGGAAUAAACGUGAAUAUGCAUACACUCUAUAUUGAGAAAAUGGGAUGAGAAUUCAAAAAUUAAAAAAAAAAUGGAGAGGGGGCGUGGUGGAGAAUUAAUAUUUCUUUAUUUGCCUAAUAACAAAAUAUUGAUGACACUAUGUGUAAUGGCAAAGUUCUAAAAGAAGGGAAAGAGAACUAUUAAUAAUAAAAGAAAUCAACUUUCAAUAAGUAAUCUAGGUCCUAUAAGAAUAAGAUUAAUGGUCUUAGGAAAACCAAAUCUAACUCUAAUAAAAAUUAAACAGAGGGGAAAUUAUCCUAGAGCAGCCAAGAGAAAAUCUAUCAAAAUAACAUUUUGGACAGCCUCAUCCAUGUAUUUCAAAAUCUUCUAAAAUAUUAAACUGCCGAUUUGAAUUCCAAAUUAAUUUCCCAGCAUCAUAGUCUUCCCCUUAAGAAGCCAAUUUCGUUCCUUAUAGCAUCUUAUGUGUGGGUAGAGUCAAUUAUUAAAGCAGCUUACUUUCUGAUUUUAUCAAAUCUUAUGGUAUCUUGCUUGCUUGAAAACGCAAAUAUUAUAACAUUUUCCGCAAUAAACGAACUUGAGAGCUUUCAAAUGAAUUUUUACUUUUGGUAAUAGCGUAAGAAGUUCAACCUACAAAUGAAACAAUGAAGUGAAAUCACAAAAUGAAAACGAAUGCGAAUGAUAUGAUUUGUUAAGAGUUGAAAACAAUUGAUGAGCUAUUUCCUAUAAGCUUAAGCUUUUGAGAUUAAUGAUUCUCAACAUGUUCAGACUUAGAUAUUAUUGUUCGACCGUCGCCAAUUAACUUAUGCUUUUAGGCAUGCUACCAAAUCUAGUUUCAAUGGUGUUUGUUGCAGCCUGAUCUGAGAGGUUAUAUUACAACUUAGUCUCUGAGGCAGCAUUGCCAAUGCCACUGUACCUAAUUUGAAACCAAGACCUCUUUCAAUACCUAGUCCUCAGUGGUUUCUUGCUUUCUUGUCACUUUAAAGCUGUUCCAACCUAUAGAGAAUCUAGUGAUGUAAACUUAAUUCAAAAGAAUUUUGCAUUAACUCAAUCUAAUUUAAUCAUGCCAAUCUCGCAAAAUUAAACAUAAAUCAGGUCAAUGGGUUGCUAUACGAUUAUUCAUCUACAAGAUAUCAUUAAAUUAUAAGAAUUUAAUGCAAAUGACAAGUCUCAAUGGUUUAAUAGUAAAGAAAUCACUAAAAUAUGCACCUUUGAAAUAUUUGGAGCUAAUUUUUUGACAAGGUCAUUUAUAUGAGUAGAUCGAUAAUUCUGCAAAAACAAUAAAAGAAACAUCCAUCAAAUGAUCACUAUCUAUUCCAUAUAAAAAUCAAAAUAAACUACGAACUUUUUGUUUCCACUGGUUGUAUAAGCAAUGUAUACGUUCACAGGAAAAUAAGUACAGCAUUGACAGUCAAUGCAUUACCUCAGCAUAAUUGAAGGUCUCGCUGUUCUCGUACUUAUCAUAAAUUUUAAGAUCGCUCUGAUUUUUAGCAACACCAAAAAGAAAAUGCAAAAAAUUAGGAAAACAUUAACAAAAGGAAAUUGCAAGAAACGAAGUUGAACGGAUAGCUUACUACAAUUGAAGUUUUAUGCACAGGUACAUAUCCUGCAGAAGAAUCAGAAUACACUGAUGAGAUUCGCUAUAAAUAGAAAUCCGGAACUAAUAUCAGCUAUUUCUGGUGUGAAGUAAAGGACAAUAAUGUAGUUUAAAGAGUUUUCUGCAGUUGUCGCACCAGAGUGAAGUAACAAUUAAGGAAACCUAAGUGAUGAAGUUGAAUGUCAGGCUUAAGUACUACUACUACUCAAUACUCAUGCUAACACAGAGAUCUAACUAGUGCAAAUGUAGAUUGAAGAAUGAAGCAUGAUUGGAUCUGAAGAAAGACAGCAGUGUAAUUGUUGGCACUUCCGCGAAGGACAACAGAUCUAAAGCAAAAGUAAAGUUACCGAGUACUGACCGUUGGGAUUGGGAUUGGGAGAGUGAAAGCCAUUGUGAAGGCCAAGCAAGAAAGCGAGAGGGACAAGCAUGGAAAGGAUAACGAGAAAGAGUACUCCAAUCACUAGGCUUCUCCAUCGCCUCUUCCCCGUAGUAACCAAAACUGCGCCUCCACCGCCGCCGCCACCACCACCUUUCAUUGCCGGGUAAAAGUUAAUUAUCUAUCACCACCGGAGUUUCGUUAUUACUGUGUUAGUUUAGGCUGUUGGAACAAAAUUAAUCCCUUAUAAGAUGACGGACGGCAGUGAUGUCCGUCGCCAGGCCCACCGUAGUAGCGUAAUCUCGAUCUCACUCGGAGUCAAGACACUCUCAUUUCUACUACUACUUGAGCACUAACUGAAAGGAAAUCUUAGAAGAACCAGUGCUUUUGCACAUGAUGAGAGUGGGGAGAUCACCGUUCCCACGGCUUUGAGCUUGCGCGUGAAUUGCACUUCCGCUGGCUAACACGUGUGGACCCCGCGGUUUCAUUCCUUUUCCCUGAAAUUAUAGAAGAUAAUUAUCUUUUUACCUCAAGCCCGAAAGUAGAGUAUCGCAGCAAUGGGUCUGAUAUAAUCUAAGUUCAAAAAAUAUUUGUUUUUAUCUAAAAAGUUUUAAUUUUAAUUUUUAAUUUUGUUAUCGUAAACAUCAGAGUUAUUGUUUCAACGACGGUUGUGCGAUACUUGUUCACGCAACAUGAAACCAUUUAAGAUUAAGGGUCAGUUUGAUAUUGCGAACAUGGAUGAAAUAAACGGUUUGUAUUGUGUUUAUGAAAUAAUCUGUUAUUUAAAAAAGUUGUUUGAUAUUUGAUAAAUUGUGUUGUUGCGCUUGAAAAGUUGAGCAUAUACGUUUGAUAAAUUUUAUUACGAAAAUAUUUUUUUAUUAUAUAAUAACUAAAAUAGAUAUAAGUUUUAAUUAUUUUUUAUUUUUAGAGUAUUUAAUAAAUUGUUUAGAUAUAUCUUUUUUUCUUAAAUAUGCAAUAUAUAUCAUACUUUAAAAGUUAUAGUUGUGAAAUUAGAAUAUGAACUUACUAGGUCAAAAUUAGAGAAAACCUACGCGGUUAUGACGGUAAUAUGAUAUCUCAUGAUUUAUACAUAAGAGUUUAUGAAUAAGUGAGAUACAAUUAUUUUUUUAUUAAAAUAUAAGGUUAUAAUAAAAAAUUUUAAAAAGUUUGGUAGCUUAUUUAAUAAACUGUUUAUGAAAAACAACCAUUUACCUGUUUUUAAAAACUGCUGACGAAAUGAAAAAAAUUAUUUUUACAAAAUUUACUAAACACUAUUUUAUCAAAAAUUAUAAAAAAAAAGCUUAUUAAAUUUCAACCGCACUCCUAAACUAGCCCUAAAUGUUAUGACGUCUUAUUCAAACAAUUUAUUUUAAUUAGUAUGUAAUAUUGAAAAUAUUAUUCAAUUAAUUUUUUACAAUAAUAUUGAAUAUUAAAUAUUAAAUUUAACAAUGAAUAAUAUAAUUUAAAAAUAAUAUAUCAUUCAAAUAGUUGUUUUUACUUUAUUAAACUAAAUUUAACAUAAUUUUAUCGACAUUAUACAAAUAAAAAAGUACUAUAUAAUUUAGGAUAAUCCAAUCUAAUCUAACUUCAAAGUUAAAAAUCCAAUUCAAUAUAACAUAAAAAAAUCCAGUUCGAUCGAACAUAACCUUAGAUGCUUACCUCUCCCCUUAAGAACGAAAUUUCUCACCGACUCAAGUACAAAGAUAAUGCCAAAUCCGGGGUCACGCAUCUAAUUGUAGAGAAUGUGCUAAUAAAUAACUUGCUACUAAUAUUAAUAAAUUAACCAAAAUUGAUUGAAAAACAAAAUUGUUUAAAGAGCCAAUAAACCAUCGUGGCACCCAUGCAGUAGGUAUUAGGUGCCUAAAGCUGUACAACACGUCGACGGUCCUCUGUCAUAAAAUGUACAUAGCAUCGUUACAAUACAAUCACAAAUUCAAGCUACAGAAAAAAGUUACGUUUCCACAUGGUGAGCCCAGCAAGUUCAUAUGGUCGUAUAUGAACUCUCUUUGAUCAAACGUCCUCUGAAAUCUUCACAUUUUGGUCAACAUCCACGCUUUAGUUCACAACGAGGCAUAUAAUUGUAAGCACAAAUCGUUAUGGUAUCAUGUUCGAUCCAUGUACAGUCUAUGAUUAAAGGUUAUGUAAUCACUAAGCAAACAAGAUUUUCCAUAUGAAAAAUAUUGCUUCUGAAACAAAAAGAAGCAAACCCAUCAAAUCCAACAAUCAACACCCAAACGAGAAAUACUGAAAGCCCAUACUUGUCAUAAAGAAAAACUCAGUGCAAUAAGUAGUUCAACACCAGUCUACCUUUCAACUAACCAUAUCAAGUGAAGCAACUUUUUCAGCUUCCUCAGUUCCCAGACCCUCUCUGACAGGGCUAUUACUUCCACAUAUGCUACCACUCAAAGGACUAGUAGUAGCAUUGUUGACUGAAUCUGCUGUCAAGGUGCUCAUAUUAGGUGAACUAGAACUACAACCAGCAACAUGCUCUUCUGAUACCUUCGGAGGCGGAUUAGAAAUAGAACCAGAAACAAGCUCUUCUAACUCUUUCGGAGGCAAACUAGAAAUAGAACCAGAAAUGUGCCCUUCUGAUUCUUUAGGCCUAUUCAGGGCAUUGCAGUGUGGACAGUAAUAUGUAAUAUAUGGGAAAUCCUCCUUCCUAGCAAGACCUUCGCACAUACAACAAAAGAAAAAAUAGUUUUCUUCAAUCCCGAUCAUUUCAUAAACAACACAAUUGAUUUUGGGGUCGUGCAUGUGAUUUCAUCGUUAAGCAGUAAGAGGGUAGGAAUAUCCUUUCUAACAGACUCACCAUUAUGCAUAUGGCAGUUGCCACAUAUAAGAGCAUAAGAUUGUGAAGGAUCGUCUCCAACAAGUAUUGCUGCAAUUCGAGCAAUCCAUCCUCCGUCAUGCAUGGUAGACACCUGGGGAUAGUGAUGAUUCACAACAAGUUGAUUAUGCUCAGGACCCUCGCUCCCAAAGGAACUAGAGGUUUCUUCAUCAGAAUGAUGCAAUGGAGUGCUACCAGCACCACCAGAUCUGGGCUGCAAUUGCUUUCGAUUUCGAAGACCGCUAGAUGGCAUAACCUCGACAUCAUUGCUAUUCCCCAGUGGAACAUUGAAAUUAGAUUCAUCCCCCACAAACACAUUCAAACCAGAAUCUGCGCCUAGCUUGGAUGCCAGGACUGUUGCAGCGGCAGCUUUUGCCGCUGGGUCAGGAUCAUACCUCUGUAAAAUAAAGCUUGUGCUAAGUACAAUUCCAAACUUUUUUUAAGAAUGAGUCGUGCAUUCGGAAAUUAAAAAAAAAAAAAAAACUCCAUUCAUUUCUUUUUGAUGAGGCAAUAACCACUUCCAUCAGCAACUAACACCCUUUAUUCAUUACAGAAACCAUAUCAUGGUAACAACUCUUAAACUCAUUUGAUGUGACCAAAAAAAAAGAAUUCUACAAAAUUGCACAAUAUUGUCUAAGACUCUUAGCAACCAAUUCAAAACAACACAAAGGGGUAAAACAAAAUCUUAAGAAUCGAGGCUUACAUCUCAAGCUUUAUAUUACACUUAAAAGCUUAAACAGACCGAUGGGACCUGAAAGAGGAUUCUAUAGAACACCUACAAGAAGUUUCGCGAAUAAUUACCUGAAUGAGCUGUUGAGUAGUAUAAUAAUUUGUCCUCUCUUUGAGUUCAUCAAUUUUGGCUUUCCUCUCAACCCGAAGCCUUUCUAGAGUUUUCUGGUCCUUGCGAUCACCUAAAAGCAUCAGAUAAAAUACAAGUUGAUAAAUAGAUCUAUCCUCUUAAAGCCACCAUAUUUGUUUGGGUUUUGGGUGGGGUGGGCGGUGUGGGGGUAGUUUAGGGUGAGUGCGUGUUCAAUUUCUUUUCAUAGAAUGUAGACAUGAUAGUCGCUAUCCAAAUUUAAUCAAGGAAGAUGUCAGGCAACCAGUGAGAUAAAUAAAAAUAUUGCAAUAAAUUAAAAAAAGUUCUAAAGUUCAAAGCACACACACAUCCUGUUGAAGCUCACAAAUGCUGAAUAAGCAAGUGCAGAUAAACCAGGCAAAAGAAAUAUGGGUAGAACUUGAAGGGCCCUCGUCUUCCAAUUUAAUUCCAUUGAUCUUGUUGUCAUGAUAGCAUAACCAACCGCAAUAACCUGAAAAUUGAUACCAUUUAAGGGAAUUUAUUAAAAUAUAGAUAACAAUAGCAACAAGCAUCCAGUAAAAGAAUUGUGGUUGGGCCUACACAUGUUUAAAAGGAUAAAAUGAUGAGGCCACUAUACUCAAACCUUCAAACCAAAUAUUCUGGUACCAAAUAUGUCAAAUAUUAAAGAGAGAAAUCUAAGCAGGUGGCAGGAGCCAAAAAAAAAAACAUAAAUUUGAGAACGGUAACGAAAAAUAUCUAAGCAGUGGUCAGAAGGAAAGAAAAUCAAGAUAGUCAAACUUAAAGAAGUUUUGAAUGCAACAGAUUGACAUUUCUCUGUCAAAAGACGUAUUGUAAAAUAGAAAGAAUGUUCAAAUCACUGGUUUGCUCUAACUCUUGCACCCUAAACUCAUCUGCCAACCAAAAAUUUGUUAAAAAAGCAACGAAAACUAGGUAAACUUUUUCACUCAGCAUGGAAAUAAAAUUCUCUGGCCAAAACUUGCAAAAUCCAACUGUAAUGGUCAUUCAUGUAUGUAAAGACAUCUAAAAUGUUAGAAAACACAAGCAGACAUCAUACAAUUAUAAGCUCCACCACAGUCAUUUAUUUCUAAGGAAAUUUACUUAUUUAUGAUCAGAAACAAUUUGAUGCAUGCAAAAGAGAAUCUUUUAGUGGUCAUGACUAAGUUCUCUCACUGUCUCAGUGGCUUGCUAACAACAUUGUUAUAGGUCAUCGGAGACUCACUAUACUCAUAAAGGAAUGCAUCAUCAUCUGGAAUUACACCAAUAUUUUAACAUUUUGCGCUAUGAAAAUGAAACCAAUGAUUUGAUCAAACCACCCCCCAACCCUCCUGAAAUAAAGAUAAAGGACAUAGGCACUGCACGUCUGCACCACCUAAAAUGCCAAGACUAAGUGAUAAAAAGAGAAAACGUAAAAAGUUACAGUGGGAAGAAACAAUGUAUGGUAUGUACUUUAUCCAAAAUGCCAAGACUUAGUGAUAAAGGAGUAAGCACCUCAAAAACAACAGUGAAUAUGAUAAGAUGCCUAGACAUCCUCCUCCAAGUCUGGGAUCUCCUUUUCACUCGAGCAAGAAUAGCAGCUUCUUCCUUAGAAAUGUAUUGCAAUCUCUUCUCAAAAUCAUCACCCUUUAGUCUAAAGAUACCAUUCCAAAGACGAGAAAUGAUACCCUUACGCUUCUUUUCAACUGCCUUGGAAUCUUUUUUUUCACUUUCAGUAAUGCACUUGUCUUCUACCAUUUCUUAUUUUGCUUUACUUCCUUCUGCAAAAGUGAAAAAAAAGCUAAGCAUCUAUAAGUUGGUAAUGCAGCUAAAUAAAAUUCAAAUUACAAUCAAUAUCAGAACCAAACAGGAAAAUCCUUCAGACAUGAUCAUUAAACUAAUGGCAACCAGUGACAUAACCACUGUUAACUAUUUAUAGGUGAGAAACGACCAGUAAGAAAUAAAAAUCAGUUACUUAAAUGACAAAGCUUUAUUAUGAGAUGCCUAUGUAAGAAGAUAACAAUAAUCUCGUAGAUUUCCCUUCUCCAUUGUUCAUAUGAACUAGCUAAAUUUGAAUCCAAUUCAUGGGUAUAUUUUUAUGUAUUUAAGGCUAAUUAUCUGUUCAAUGGCUCUUUAGAACAACAAAGACACAGCAGUUAAAAAUGGUGCUUUUCAAUACAAUUUAUGAGAUCACUGUCUAAAACCAGACAUCAUAGAGCAAUAUAAAUGCUGCUCACCUGGUCCCAUGCAAGUCCUAAUUAUCAUCAGCUAAUAUUUAUUAUUUAUUCAUUUAUCACAGAGUAAAGGCAACAAGCACUGCAUCAUAAAUAAUAAUUUCCAGGUAUCGGGAAUAGUUCAGCGUUCAACAGAUCAGACAUGACAAUUUUUGUAUGAAGUAGUUAAAGAUAGAUUAAGAUAAAAAGUAUCUUAACAGCCUUCUCUUUCUCUUAAUCAGACCCACAUAGUAAGCCAAACUUACAGAUGAUCCUAUUGAUGCCCGAGCUCAAAAUUAUUCUGUGACCCUACAUUUUAUCAAUCAAAUCAGACUACUUUUCAAAUAAAAACGGAAGUAACAAUUCCCGUAACGGAUUACAGAACAUAGGAUAAUGAGCAUAUCACAACGAACAAGAGAUACAUAAAAAAAUUUGCACAAUCCUCAAUAAGCUAAUACUGGAGCCAAUAUGCUGUAAAACAUGAAAAAUUUCAUAGCCAGGAGCAGACUAAAAUAUCUGAAUCCAUAAAUGGAAGCUGUUAAGUAAACGCAACUUAAUUUGAAAUAAUGCCGGAAUUCAAUUCGUUUUCGGUGUUUAAAGGUGCACAAUCUUUCUGAGCUACUUUCAGGAAACACAAGUGAUGCAGGCUCUAUUUUUGUUUUUUUUUUAAAAAAAAUAGAUAGAUAAAAAAGGCAACAGACAUAUAAGAAGCAAACGUGAUCGGAUCCUCUACUAAUUGCCUGUUCAAUUGGAUUAUGAAAAAUAAAAAGUCAAAAAUGAUUAAGUUUAACGCUAGAAAUCUCAUAGCUAACCUGAAUUAAAGAUAGUAUGUUUGGGAGGAGCGACGAUCAGAGGUCGAAAGGUUCCAGCGCGAAGAGCAAAACGAUUAUUGAAGAUUUCGUGUGGAAUGGUUAAGUCACCGUUUGAAUCGCACGUGCGAAGUGAGAUCUCACACGAGGGAAAAUGUAUAACAGCUAGUUACAGUUACAGAGGAAAGAAAGAGUCGAUUGACAGUGGACUGUGGAGAAAUUGGUAUCUCGGAGGUUGGGCUUCGUGUGGAUUCAGCAACUUAAACAAUCAUGACGUUUCAACUAUAGAAGGCAACCAAUGGCCGGGGUUGGCCUUUAAUGGUUUUCGAAUUAUUUAUUUUACCGAUGAAAUUUGAAAGAUAUGGGUAAAAAAAAAUUAAUUUAGAAUUUAUCAUUCCUCUACGUCUUUGAAAAAAUAAAUUAGGGUAAUUUUAUUUUAUCUGAAUGGAUUUGGAGAUGUCGAUUUUUUUUUUAAUAUAUUAAGAUCACAAUAAAGUGUAAACCAAGAUUUUAAUUUUGGCAGUGAAACAAAUCUGCCAGAUUUUUCCAUAAACCAAACAAUCAUACGAUGAAAGCAAUGAAAUAGAAAAUUGCAAGCAAUAUAAAUAUUAUGAUCCAAAACACCUAAAUUUAACAAAUAUGACGACAAUAAAAAAUAGUUCAACUAGUAUGACUGAUUUAUAAAGAAAAUAUAAAAUUAUCCUACAUUGUUGAACUACUCAAGUUUGGUUGGCAAGUUGAGAAAAUUAUUAUCGAAAAUCACUACGCAAAUUUUGCUCAAAACUCUAUCUAUAAUACAUAAGUAAUGUAAUAAAAGAAUAAAUAAAUCAUAAACCCCCAACGGUGUAAAUAAUCUUUAAAUUGUCAUGAUACUUUAGACUAAGCGUGAUUUUAAUGCGGAAAGAGGGGUAUUUUACUUAAGUUAUCCAAUUGCCAUAGUCAUGUGAAAUAAAAUGAAAAAUAAAAAUGUUUUUUUGCCUUUACUUAUCAAAUUAGAAUGGUAAAAGUUUUCGGUGUCCUGGUAAUAUAGUUUUGAGAUAAAACGAGUCGUGAAUAAUACAAAUAAGAAUAAAGUUCUUCUCAAAAAAAAGAAAAGAAUAAAGUUCGUUAAUCACUUUUACCACUAAGGUUGUUAAUUGUUUUUAACCAAGGAGAGGAGACCGAAGGUUGUUAAUUGCUGAAUGCUUGCCAAUAUGAUGAAUCUUCGCUAAGGUUAGCUUUUAGAUCAAUUUUACUGAAACCCCCUCGUUUAUAUUCUAAACAGACUCAACUCCCUACGGUUUCAAAUUUCAUCAAUAAGACCCCAUUUGCAAAUUGAGAUGAUCACUCCCUUAGAUAAAUAGAAUUGAUAAACUUUGAAGAGUUAAAUUAUAUUAUAAAACUAUUACAGCAAAAGUUACAAGUGAUAUUACUACAAGGAAAAUGUGAGGUGGAAGAAAUUGAAAAGAACAGAGAAAGAUAAUUAUUUAUUGGCCUUUAUUAAAAGACAUGAAAAAUUAUACAAGAUAUAAACAUACUGUUAAAAAUAUGUUUAUAAAUACAUCGGCUCACUCCCUUUUUCUCUCUAUUGACAUCCAUACCAAUUAUGAACUCGAGGCUGUUAUUAAAACUGAGGGAGGAUUGACGAGAAAUAAUGUAAUUUGUAAAAGAGUAAGAUUAUUUAAAGAGAGUGAUAGUAAACUUAAUUAUAAACUCACUUAAUUACAUUUAUUGUUACUUUGUUAGUUUUAUUUAUAACAUUAAAUGAUAUGACAUUCAUAAUUGAUAAAUUUUCACAAGUAAAGUAAUUGUAUUAUCACAUCACCUAUUUAAUGAAUGCCAUAUUAUGAAAAAUGAAAUUUUAUGAUGUUUGCUACUAUUCAACUCCUAUUAUUACUGUUUUACUUUCGAGUAUUUAAAAAAAUUACUUAGAAAGUCCUCCAAGAACCUGUCCUAGUGAUUUACAAGUAAUUUUAUUCAAUUAAGUGCUCCAGUGUCAGGGAAAUAAUAGAUUAAAAAGUUGAUUUAAGAUUUACCCCCCCUAAAAAAAAAAAAAAACAAAAACAGACCUGCGGGGCUAUUAUUCAUAAAAUUUGAAACCAUAAGGAUAUAUACAUAAGGUGUAUCCGUGAAAUUUCUCCUCUAAACCAAAAGCCUGAUAAAGGAAUCAUCAUAGGCCCGUAAUCGUAUGCAUUUGCAUAAGGGCGAUUAAUCAUUUAAUCAUAUUGGCAAAUCACAACUGCAAUCCAUUCUCACCAUCUCGCCAAAAGCUCUGAAAUCACCCUUAUCUCUCUCCCUCCCGCUUUGAAACUCUCUGUUGAUCAUUCUCCGCCAACCGUGAAUCGUCGUUUGUUUUCUGAUAAUUUUUGUUUUUUCACUUCCGGAGUCUUUUGUAGAAACAAGUGCGCGUGCUGAUGUUAACUUCCAGGGUCAAAAUCUUGGUUUAAAACUCACUCGAUUCCAAAUCAACAACUCCGGUAAAGUUAAUUUCCUCUUAUCGGUGCUUGCAUUUUUAUUCCUUUUCUCUUAAUUUGCGGAGUAAAUUCGAUUUUCCUGAAUUCGUGUGUUGUUGUUUCUCUGCGAAAGUAUGCUAGAAACGAGAGUGAGUGAAAUUUCAAAAGGAUAAACAAAUAUAACAAAUACUUUAGUUCGUGAAAUAUGAAUCGACACGAAACCCAACCUUCAAGAAACCAAUGCAUUGUCUCCAGAGUAUUCGACUCUCCCUCGUGUGAGAUCUCACCUCGCACGUGCCAUUCAUCAAUUCAAAGUUCAAACUCCAAACGGUGACUCCACCUGCGUCUUUCCUCUUUAAUACAUUUCUCGUACCGAUCGAUCUCCGAUCGCUGCUUCUCCCAAUUUCAGGUUGUUGGUUGUUUGCUUGGUUUGACUUCAAUCUGUUUUUGUUUUGAAAUUUUUCAAAUAGCCACAUAAUUAGUGUACGGAGGGUGCAGUUGCUGCGGCAUUCUUGUUUGCUUCUUACGUGUCUGCUGCUUCAUCCAUAUAUGAAUCAAACAAUUGUCCGUUAUUUCUUGGUCUUCAACAUUCAUUUCUACUUUUGAAUAAAAUUUUUGAAAUUAUUAUUUGGUUUGAUUAAAUAAUGCAGGGCACUUGGUGAUCUUUGAGCUCUGGCAUCAACAGGAUUGCCUGGAAGUUACGCUCAUUUGCAGGUCUAAUUGAGAGAAAAAUAAAGGCAGUUGAGGUACUUUGCCUAGAUAACAAAAGUUUCAUGCUGUUCUGUUGAUUGCUGAACCAUUCCCAAUACAUGGCUGUUGUUAUUUAUGUUGGUGUCGUGCUUUUAUGCUUUUACUCUGUUAAAACUGAAUAAAUAAUGAAUUCUCUCCGUUGAUUUAGUUUAUUUAUAUAUAUUUAUAAUUCUUUGUCAUAUGUAGUACUGUCCUAUGCUUUGGUAUGAAUUAUAUAUAUAUAUAUAUAUAUAUAUUAUGUCAUUCCAUUUUUUCCUUUUUUUUUUUGCCUUUUUAUUAUAAUACUUUGAAUUGAAUUUGGCUGCCAAAUAUCUACAUUUGGGAUUUAGGACUUGAUUGUUUCAAUGAUUUGAUUAUUUCUAUCCAAAAGCAACAAUUUUUGCUUUCAGAAUCUGUGUUUUUGUUGAUGUAAAGAGUCUUUGAAUAUCGGUAAUGCAGUAUAUUAUGUUGUAUGAAUUGUGGGAAGCAAAUGAUUCUCUCUCUAACUUGUGGGAACUAUUUUUUCUGAGAUGCUGUGGGAAGCAACUGAAUAUAUUGUUGUUGUAGUUAGGUUACUGGUUGCUGUUAAUUUCAUAUUUUUGUGAUGAAAUUUCCUAAUUGCUUUUCAUAUUCAUUGUAAUCAAUUGUUAUGGUUGCUUAGCUUUUCUUUAUUUUUUCCACAAGGAAGUGGAGCAAAAGAAGAAAUGGCAGAGGACAAAAGUGGUACUGAAAGCGAAAAUAAAGAUUCUGCUGCUUCUUCAGCAGUAGUAGGAAAGAAGCGCAAGGGUAUCAUUUCCCGAAUUUGGAAUGGUAUCUUUAGAUUAAAGAGGGAUGAUUUUGAGAAGAGAUUGCAGUACAUUUCUAAGGAAGAAGCUGCCGUUCUUGCUAGGAUGAAAAGGAGAUCACAGACUUGGAGGAGGCUGACCAGGCAUCUUAUUAUAUUCUCUGUUAUUUUUGAGGUGCUCUUUGUUUUAUCACUUAAGCGUUGACAUUUUGGAUGCAGAGCUUUUUUGGUCAAAUCAUUUGGCUUCAUUUUCAUAGCUAGGAAUGUAUAAAUUUGCUGCAAUGCAAACUGAUAAUACAUUUCUUUAUGAGUAAUACAAGCCUCUGUUGAGCAAUAAUAGUUUCUUUAGCGAGCCAUUUAGAGAAGUUAGACAUGAUCGUUGCAUUUUUUGUCCUCUGCAUGCUCAGUAUUUUAGAACUCAAGUUAUUUGUUGUUUAGAGAGAGAAAAAAAAAGUUUAAGUUAUUUGUUGUUUAGAGGGGGGAAAAAGUUUCUUAGAAAUAAAUUACAGAGAAACAACUGAUAGCUGUGUAUUGUCUGCCUGUGUUCUUUCAACAUUUGAGAUUGCUGCAUAGGCAUGAAUGCUCACUACAGUUUAUUAUUGCAAGUUUGGCCAGAGAACUUUACUUCCAUGCUGAAUAAAAAUUUUACCUAGUUUUCAUUUCUUUUAUAAGAAAUUUUCCAUUGGAAAAUGAGUUUAGGGUGAUGAGUGGAGGGAGCAAUGUUUUGGAUGUCUGUUGUAUUAUACAAUAUGCCUUUUGACAGAGAAGUGGCACUCUGUUAUGGUUUCAAGACUCCUAACUAUCAUGAUUAUAUUUUUUUUUUCUGGCUCCUGCUUAGAUAUUUUUAACUACACUUUCCUCCUUCGUUCUGCUUGGAACUUUUUCUUUCAUAUCUGAAAAAAUAAGAAGUGGAUGAUUUUCAUUACAAUUUCAGAGCAUGUGGCUUUAUCAUUUCAUCCUUUUCAAAAUGCAUAGGUCGACUACAAUCCUUUAACUUGAUGCUUUCUAAUCUUUUCAACUUAAUUUUGAAUAAUUUACCUUAAAUUAUAACAAUUUUCAGGUUAUUGCAGUUGGUUAUGCUAUCAUGACAACAAGAUCAGUAGAUUUAGAUUGGAAGAUGAGGGCACUACGAGUCUUGCCUAUGUUUCUUUUGCCUGCUUUGUCUUCUCUUGCUUAUUCGGCAUUUGUGAGCUUCACGAGAAUUUGUAUGUGGUUUUUAACUGUAGAAAUGUCUUUAUUGGAAUCAUGUUAAAAUGUUAUUUCUUAUUUCUCCCUCUCUUUGAUUUAUUGGUGCCUAUUAAAACUUGUAUGCUACCAUAAUGGCUUAAUAUGGUGGCUAUAUGAGGACAGGUGCCCUAAUUAAGCUGUAUUUUAUCUGAUGUUUAUAGGUGAUCGCAAGGACCAGAAAACUCUGGAAAGGCUUCGAGCUGAGAGGCAAGCCAAAAUUGACGAACUUAAAGAGAGGACAAAUUAUUACACCACUCAACAGCUCAUUCAGGUAAUUGUUCAUGAUCUUUCUUCUAGGUGUUCAAUAGAAUCCUCUUUCAAGUUCUGGUUGUCUCAAGUUUCAAAGAAAAGCUCUGGUUGUCUGUUAAUGUUUUGAAGUCUACGCAAAAGCUUGAAAUGCAAGCCUUGAUUAGGUUUUCUUAUACACCCCUUAUGUUGUUUCAUGUUGGUAUCUUAGACUAUGUCAAAUAAGUUUGAGAAUUUUAUGGUAAAAGUCUAUGAGAGAUUAAGGACAUUGUUACUGGUGGAGAUGUUUGUUGCCUGGCCAAAAGAAUGAGUGAACUGUAAGCUUUCAUUUGUUCUGAAGCAGUUUUUAUUUUUCUUUUGAAAGCAUAUAGUGAGGUUAAACAAAAAGUGGAGUUUCUUUGCAAAUGCAAGACAUUUUAUUUCAGUGAAUGUGAAUUUUACAAGCAUAAACUCUAUUAUGCAGAGGUAUGAUCCUGACCCAGCGGCAAAAGCUGCUGCUGCAACUGUACUAGCAUCCAAGCUUGGUGCUGAUUCUGGCUUGAAAGUUUAUGUGGGAGAUGAAUCCAAGCUCAAUUUCCCAGUUGGGAAAAGCAAUGAUGUCGAAUUUGUGCCAUCAAGCGGCCUUCGAAAUCGAAAACAAUUGCAUACCAGAUCCAGUAGUGCAGGAAGCACUCCAGUGCAUCAUUCUGAUGAGGGAACCGCUCCCCAUUCAGUCAGGAGUGAGGAUGCUCAAACUUCUGAGCAUAAUCAACUGGUUGUCAAUCAUCACAAUCCUCAGGGAUCUAACACACAUGACGGAGGAUGGAUUUCUAGAAUUGCAGCACUACUUGUGGGCGAAGAUCCUACACAAUCUUAUGCUCUUAUAUGUGGCAACUGCCAUAUGCAUAAUGGUGAGUCAACUUAUACUCUUCUAUAAUGCAGCGACUUGCAACCGACAAUCAAUUAUUUUCUUUGUUAAUGUGGCAUAUUCGUAGAAAACGUUUUUUCUUAAGUUAUUUUUAUUGUUUCAUUUUUUGUCCAGGACUCGCUAGGAAGGAGGAUUUUGCAUAUAUUACUUAUUACUGUCCACACUGCCAUGCCCUGAAUCGGCCAAAAGAAUUGGAAGAGCAUGUUUCUGGUUCUGUUUCUGAUUCCCCUAAUAUGAGCUCCUUAACAACUGAUUUAACGAACAAUGCCGGCAGUCCUUUGAGUGAAAGCGUACGCCCAAGUAAUAGCCCUGAAACAGAAGGGUCGGGAAUUGAGGAAGCUGAAAAAGUUGAUUAAUUUAAUAUGUUUAGUUGUAAGAUAGAUACUAGUUUGGAGAUGAUACUUGGGUGAGAUGAUUUUCUUCUGCAUGGAUGUGUUGUCAGUUUGCUUCUUGUUUUGCUCAAAAGCAAGGAACUAUUGACAUUUCAUACGGAUUUUUUUUUUUUGUUAAUAGAAUCUUUGGAUAACCUCAUCGGAGACUACCUAUAUUUUUUCCCUUCAAUCAUUCAUGAUGUCAUAAUUUGAUUAUGCUUCCUAAUUAAAUGCCUUCUUUAGCUGUUGAGUGAUUUAACAAACAACAGGUAACUCCAGGUAAUCCUAGAUUUGGAGGUACUUUAAUUAUUUGAGCUGUAAAAAAUAUUGCAAUCCAUGUUAAUCUAAAGUUCUAAAAACACGUGUUUGUGAUAAUUCAUCUUGAGUAAUGCUAUGCUUAUUUAAAACUUAAUUGAGAUAUGCACUAUUUUAAUAAUUAAUAAUAAAAUCAAUUAGUAUCAAAUACUUGCUUAUAAUUUAUUCACGGAAAAUUAAACAUUCCAGGUAAUUAACUUACGGAUAACUGAGACAAUUUCUUGGAUUACGGUUAUGGGUGAUUCUGUCGCUGAAACUUUAGGGGUAUCUAUAGGCUUACGAAAGUUUAUGGACUAAAGUGGAUUAUUUCAAAAGGUCCAAGGGUAAAAAUGGAUUUAAGGCACAAUAAUAAAAGGGAGUUCAUUGUAAAACCGUAAGGGUGCACUCACCGGAUCUUUAGUAUAAUAUAUUGAACAUUCUGGCCUGACCCGGUCAUCAGAACGGAAAAGUCUCUUUCGUCUGUCUCAUUAGGUAUGAAUUUAUAUAAUUUACGAAAUUUUGUCACGUAAUGGUUCUAGGUUUCAUCCAAAGCGAUUCUGAUUCGAUAAUUUUUCUUCAUCUUUGAUGCAUUUACUUGUCUGCCGCAUCUAAAACGAAUUAUUAUUGUAAUUAAUUUUUUUUUUCAUAUUAUUCAACUUUCUUAUUGAUUGAUAUGCAUGUAAUGUAACUGGCUGUUUAGAGUUUUCUUGUUUUCGCUGAAAUUGUUAAUAUAAAGGAAGCGAUGGGCCUGAAGCAAGCUUUGAAGAGCCUUGAUGCAUUUCCUCGAGCAGAGGAGCACUUGUUGCAGAAAACUCAAUCUGGGGCACUUGGUAAAUCAAUCUUUUAAUAAUUUUCUUGUGAGUUGUUGAAUUUGAUUCCAGUUAAUAGGCUGAUUUUUCUUUUUCCUUUUGAAAUCUUGUAGUCUCCAUUAUUGGUCUCGUCAUUAUGGCCUCAUUGUUCAUGCAUGAACUCAGAUAUUAUAUUACCACAUAUACAGUUCAUCAGGUAUGCACUUUCUUCUCAGCCGCGUGUGUCACAGAUACAUUUAUAUGAAAUUUCCUAAAAAGUAAAUAGGUAACUACAGGACAUUAGAAUCUAUUACAUUCUUAAUUCCUGAUAAAUUCUCUGGAAGCAGAUUUUCUCGGAUUAAUGAACUCCUUGAAAGCGUAUUAAGUUUAUAAAUCCUGUAAUGAUAGACUGUUAAUGAGAAUUUUGGAAUCUUGUUUUCUUACCGAGCAAUGGAAAGUUGGGAUCAAACUAAAAGCUAAAUUGUUAGGAUUUCGCUGGCAACCAAUCAAUCUUAAGGGAGAGAACUUAAUGACACUAAUCUGGCUGUUGGCUUCUCCAUUUGAAGCUACAUUUCUCUGCUUUGUUCUUCGUGGUACUUAAUGUAUUAGUUGCCUUUUUUUGUUUUUUUUUUUUUGGGGGGGGGNNNNNNNNNNNNNNNNNNNNNNNNNNNNNNNNNNNNNNNNNNNNNNNNNNNNNNNNNNNNNNNNNNNNNNNNNNNNNNNNNNNNNNNNNNNNNNNNNNNNNNNNNNNNNNNNNNNNNNNNNNNNNNNNNNNNNNNNNNNNNNNNNNNNNNNNNNNNNNNNNNNNNNNNNNNNNNNNNNNNNNNNNNNNNNNNNNNNNNNNNNNNNNNNNNNNNNNNNNNNNNNNNNNNNNNNNNNNNNNNNNNNNNNNNNNNNNNNNNNNNNNNNNNNNNNNNNNNNNNNNNNNNNNNNNNNNNNNNNNNNNNNNNNNNNNNNNNNNNNNNNNNNNNNUUUUUUUUUUUUUUUUUUUUGGGGGGGGGGGGGUGUUGUGUCCUUCAACCAGGUGAAAUACUUUUUUUGAGUUCUCAGUAUCCUAAUGUACUUCUACCUAUUGUGGGUACAUGAUGGUUUUUUGGGUUUCUUGCUUAAUAAUAUAUUUAUAUUUAUUAUAUGUGACAAGCUGAUGGUAUAUUGAAACAUAUCAUACAUCAGCCUGAAAUUCCUAGAAUUUUCAGGGAAGAAUGAAAAAUAUCAGUAGAGCUGCAACAAGUCUUAAUGAAAAUGGAAGAUGUGACUCCAUUAUUUUGGAACUUGGAUACACUGUACAGGCUGCAACCUGACACAACUAUAGUCUUUUAUAUUUUUAUUCCAAUCAAGUACUGAACAAGUGAUUUUCUCUCUUAAUGUUGCUUUUUUUUUACCAAAUUCCUUACAAAAAAAAAAAAAUUGCUUGGAGGGAUUAUUCUAAAUAGCUUGCCUUUAGUCCAAAGCCUUGACAUCGCAUCUAAAAGUUGAAAACCGACAGGCUUGGUUUUGGGGGAUGGGAGGGGUGGGUGAGGGAUCUGCUGUGUGUACUAGUGAUUGGUUUUACAAGACUUCUAAACAGUAGGCUGUCCUUGAGUGAAUUAGAGUGCAAAGAUUUAGAAGUUAGCAAUUUAUUGGUCCCAAAAAAAAAGAUUGAAAUAAACUCAUUAGUGAGGUAGCACAUGACCAGAAAAUAUUCUCGAGUCAAGUGGCGAUUAUCUCAUAUUAGCCCUCAUGUCUUAGGUUUUGUUUGUGAGAUAAUUCCGUAUCAAUAAUCUCAAUAAUAGAGGUUGAAAUAGGGGUGGGUAAUUGAGUCGUAAGCAAUUGUUUUGCAUGACUUACGAGCAUAUAAAUGAAAUGAAUUGACUGAUGAAAGUUUCUUUUAGUUCUUUGGAGAAAAGGGUUGACAAAUCAUGUUUUUGGCAGAUGUCUGUAGACUUGAAGCGUGGAGAAACUCUUCCAAUUCAUAUAAACAUGACAUUUCCUGCCUUACCUUGUGAUGGUUAGCAUCUAUGCUUUCUUCUUUACGAGUCCCUGGUUGCACAUUUUUCGUUUUACUUGUCUUUAAUUAUUUGCCAUAAUGAACUACAAAAUGACUUACUUCACCAUUUUUUUUUCCCAGUGUUAAGUGUUGAUGCUAUUGACAUGUCAGGCAAGCAUGAAGUAGAUCUUGAUACAAACAUAUGGAAAGUAAGACAACACCUAUCUUACAAAAAUUUUUAUCAGCUAAUCUUUGCUAGUUUUAAUUGGUCUUAUGUAUAUUAAAUAAUUUUCUGGCUGUCUCUCUUCAACAAACGUAGGAAUAAUACUAACUUUUGGAGAGAACUAGGCCUUUCUAUUCUUGUAAAAGGAUUUCAUUUAGCUCAUACCUCUUUGAGUGAGUAGAAUACCUCCCAUAUUCCUUCCAUAUAUAUUUUAGAUUAGUUGAUGGAUUUUCUGUUAUCCUUUUUAUUUUUUGGGGGGGGNNNNNNNNNNNNNNNNNNNNNNNNNNNNNNNNNNNNNNNNNNNNNNNNNNNNNNNNNNNNNNNNNNNNNNNNNNNNNNNNNNNNNNNNNNNNNNNNNNNNNNNNNNNNNNNNNNNNNNNNNNNNNNNNNNNNNNNNNNNNNNNNNNNNNNNNNGGGGGGGGGAGGGGCAGGGGGCAUGCCAAUGAGGUAAGAGAGUAGUUUGAAGAUAAGGAUAAAUUUCAUUGAGUACAAUAUUGCAGCAUAAUUGGUAUUUGAUAGGGCUACCCAGAUGGUGUGUUGAACGAUAAGAUUUUUAACUAAAAGGUCCAAAGUUCAGAUUCCUCUUAGUACCACCUAUUAUGUCGGUUUUCUUGAUAAUUGAAGGUUAUAUGAUCUAUCAGCAAUCGUUUGUUUCAGAUAUGGUGUCCAUACACAAGUGGGGCCUAAGGUUUUCAGGGGAUUGAGAAUAAGUAUUUGGGGAUGAUGUAGAGUCAUGACCAUUUGUAAUUUAUCUUCUUAUACUUUAGCUACAUUUCUGAGUGUUUAUUUUCAGAAAGAACUUUAAUUAUGUUCCUGUCUGAUGGAAUAGGUGAUUGCACUCUUUCUCUCUCACUCACUGCAAGGGAGCUUGGUAGAUUAUUAUUCAUUUUACUUUUUUGGUUGUCCUGCUAACCAGAUUGAGCUUUCUGCAGCUUCGCCUGAACAGUUAUGGCCAUAUCAUUGGCACUGAAUAUUUGACUGACCUUGUGGAAAAGGAACACGAAGAACACAAGCAUGGUAUAUUUCCUGAGGAAUCAUACAUUUAAUUGUUUGUCUGAAGGGAAUUAUUAUGCUUUUGAAAUUAUCUUUUGCUUUAAUAUGGACAAUCCAAUGUGUUCAAUUUUUUUUUUACCUUUUUCCAUUUUCUAUCACAUUGUACAAGUUUCUGUUGAUGCAUAAACUCUAAACUGCCCAAAUUUAGAAUAGGCUAAAUGUUUUUCUGCCAAAGUAGUGGGUGCUGUGCUGAGCUUUGACAAUAGUUACAGUUACAUCUACAUCUACUGGGCACAAAUGUUUACUUUGUUGGAGUUCUGUCUUUCCUACUGCUUUAUGAUUCCUCCGCUAACAAAGACAACGAUCAAGUUGCUAUUUUUUAUAUUGUUGUUUCAGGCUUUGUACGUUUUAGGGGUAGUUUGUAUGUUAAAAUGGUUAAUAUCUCGUUAGUACUUUGAUCAGAUCAUAAUAAAGAUCAUAAAGAUGAUAUCGAUGAGAAACUUCAUGCAUUUGGCUUUGAUGAAGAUGCUGAAAAUAUGAUUAAGAAGGUGAAACAUGCAUUGGAAAGUGGAGAAGGAUGUCGGGUAUUACCAAUUCUACUUUUUCAAUCAUUUUAAGAUUUAAAACUAGUCGUAGGCUUUUAAUUGUUCUUGAGGGAACAAAAUCCAAAUACACAAGUUUUAUACUUUAUGCAGGUUUAUGGAGUUUUGGAUGUCCAACGUGUUGCUGGAAACUUCCAUAUAUCAGUCCAUGGAUUGAACAUCUAUGUUGCACAAAUGGUAAGUAGCUUUCGUUCUGUGUUUUAUUCUUAUGUCAUUUAGUGUAGAGCAAAAUGCCAAGGAUUGACAUAGUUUAUGCUGAUUUUCCACCCUGUAUUAAUUUAUUAGGAUUACUUCCUAUUGGGAUUUGGAAUUAGCAAUAAAUUGUUUGGUUGGAGUUUCAGCAUUUCAUUGGUGAUUCAAAAUUUCGGAACGCUGGAAAUUUUUAACUAUUCCAGUUAUAUUAAUCAAGUUUAAGAACUCAGAUGUUGAAUUUGAGGAUCAAUAAUGUUGAGACCCAACCGAACUCAAAUAAGACUAGUUUGUAAGUAUUGAAGGUUAACAAUACGGAUGUUCUAUGUUGUUUUCCCCUUUUGGAGUAUUUUCCUCAAGUUUUGACUAUGGCGAUGUUGAUGUUAAUGUCCAAGUUUAACAGACUGUUCAAAAUUGGUGUAAAAUUAUAUAAAACAUGAGUCUAAAAGAUUUUUAUUCCAGUGAGGCUAACACCUCUAACUUGUCUUAGAAGUCAUUUCCUCUUACUGGUGGAAUCGUCCAAUCUCAAGCAAGGGUUUUAAAGAUUAGAAAGUGUUUUGAGUCAUUUAUCUUAUAGUUUAUUUGAUUUUGGAAAUACUAUAGCUUGGGAUCUGGGUCUUAUUUUGAGUUUUGCAUGAAUUGAUGGAUCUUCAUGUGGAGAGUUUAUUCACUUGUAGUUGUGUUUUCCAAAAUUUUUCCAGGCAGAAUUAAUGUCCAUGCAUAUUUCUGUAUCAUUAACAGAAUUUUCUGGAGUUGAUUUUAUAAGAAGCUGAGUUUGUUUUGAGUCUUUUUUCAUUGCUUUGUUCUUAUUUUUCCUCUCCUUCGUAAGCCCUUCAGUACUUGUCAGUUGUCAUCAUAUAAUAAACGCCAAAAUUCCUUUUGUCCUUUCUGAAACGUAAAAUAGAAGAAGCUCAAAUCCUAUGCUGAUCUCUGCUGAUCUGUCGUUGGGCAAAAUGUUACUACGUGACCUUUGUAAUUUUGAAUAUUUUCUGCUAAUUAGGUACAUUACCAAUUCUUCUAUAUUCUUAACCUUAGAAGUACAAGCACAAAAAUUGCAUGACAUGGUGAGCAAGGAAUUUGUUUGUUGCUUCACAGCCAUAGCAAAUCCUUGAAUCCAAAGGUUUCAUUGAUAUGGGUGACAUGUCUCAUAAAUGCUUUUUGAUACUCUUAAGUUCUUGGUUUAAAAUCUUUUGGCGAAAUCUAUGGUGAGACAUAUAGUUAUAAGAUAGACUUUUAGAAAGCAUAGUUUAGGGACUGUGACAUAGUCUUUUGCAUUUUCUAGAUAUCUUUGUACUUAGGUAAAAACAUGAGAAAAUUACUUUUCUCUCAGUGGGAAAAUUUCAGUAGCUUAGGCCCUUUGCCCUUUCCUAUUGAGGCUGGAAAUUUGGCAAAAAGAAUUUGAACCUCUGAAGCAAGUUUGAAGAAAUCCAGUGAAUUAUUUUAAAGCUGUUUCUACUGCCAGUUUCUUGGAUCUUAAAAUGACAGCGUGUGUUGCGAGUACUAGUUGGUUCAAUUAGUAAGAUGGCUUUGGGUGGUAGAAGAGGUUUGGGUUUUAACCCUGUUCGGAUCAAGGUCACAAAAGGGUUUGAUUUACAUCUAUCUUCACUAUUAGAAUUUAAAAUUAAAAAGUAGGAUGUGCUAAAUCAGUGGAAUUACUCUGGUAUUUUACAAUGUUUGGUUACACCUUAUAUAGUCUUUUCUAGUCCGCUGCAUCUUAAGUAUCUUCACUUCUUCUUCACUUCUUGCAGAUUUUCGGGGGAGCAAAAAACGUAAAUGUAAGUCAUGUCAUUCAUGAUCUAUCAUUUGGGCCAAAAUAUCCAGGAAUUCACAAUCCACUGGAUGGGACGGUGCGGAUGCUGCAUGAUACAAGUGGAACAUUCAAAUAUUACAUAAAGGUCUGGCCCUGGUUUUGCUGUUGAUUUAGUGACAGAGUAGUGAUCUUAGAUUUAAUUCUCAGUUGUGACAUAUCCUACACAAUUCUUGGGGGGCUGAUUUUCCUUGAUCAAGGCAUAUACAUCCAUUGACCUAAAACAAAAUGCAUAUAUUUUAUCUUUAGUGAGCUUUUCAUUGUGGCUUGUCCUGAAAUUCUCUUUUUAUUGGGUUGUAGAUUGUUCCUACUGAAUACAGAUACAUCUCCAAAGACGUUUUGCCUACAAAUCAAUUCUCUGUAACAGAAUAUUUUUCCACAAUUAACGAGUUUGAUAGGACAUGGCCAGGUUGGUUGCCAUCGUGAUCUAUGUUGGGUUUGUUUUGUCCCUUUCUUUCUUGUUCUUGUUAGUCAUAAUCUUCUUCUUUUUCCUCUUUUUCUUUUGUGCAGCUGUAUACUUUUUGUAUGAUCUAUCCCCAAUCACUGUGACAAUCAAAGAAGAACGUCGCAGUUUUCUCCAUUUAAUCACCCGACUUUGUGCAGUAUUGGGUGGUACAUUUGCUUUAACAGGUUUGUGUCUAAUAGUUAUUCAUUCAAGACAUUGCUCAUUUCAUGGAUUCAGGAUGUCAAACUUGAACCGCUAAUGACAAUUAAACAUUGCAAAAUUUAAAUAUUCAUGGCUGUUUUGAUCUUCUACAUACUUUGAUCUCUUGAUAAUUGACAAAAUUUAAUGUUCCUUCAAAUUUUACUUUCUAGAUUUUUGGAAUCUUUUCAACCUGCUAAACUUUCCCGUCAUCACAUGAUAGGCUUUGGCCAUUUUGUUUCUCUUAAUUUUGACCUAUCAUACACUUUAAUCAAUUAAAGAAUGAUAUCUUUGUUUUCACAGGAAUGCUAGAUCGUUGGAUGUACAGGCUACUUGAGGCACUGACAAAACCCAGCGCUAGAAGUGUACUCAGAUAGAGUUGGGACUUUAUCAUUAUAUAAUAUACUCACACAUGCCACCUCUGAAAUAUUGUCAAUUUAAGCAAGAUUGUAAUUCCAGUUUCAGUAUGCAGCCUUGACUAGAGUUAGGCCCUUUACGGCUUGCAAUAUUUUUAAAUUUUGUUUACUCCACCAGCGAUUGAUGUGUUGUAUUUAAUUGGUUACCUUUUUGUUAUAUUAAGUCUUUUUGGUAGUGUCACAGUUCUUAUUUGCCCAAAAAAUUUUGGUAGUGUCACAGUUCUUAUUUGCCCAAAAAAAAAAAGGGUCAUUAGUUGCAAAAGGAAAUUGUACAUGUGAGAUUUUAUGGGGACCCAAAAUUUAGUAGAAUCUAACCAUGAUGAACCGUUUGCAGUGGUUGGUGGUAAGGUCUUAAGCAAUUUUUCAUGAGCAACUCUUGUAUCUUGGACGUAGAAUAUGAGAAAUCAGCAAAUGAUUCAAUCUGUUUAGUUUGCUUUUUGUGUACAGUAGUUGCUUAAUAUAGACUACAGUGAAGCUAGCUAUCUACGGAGCAUGCUUCAAAGAUUGGAGCUAACUGUAAAAAUAAUUCAGCAACCGGUUUCAGAAGAACUUACAGAGCAUGCUUUUCAUUCAGUCAUUUUACUGCAAAAGUCUAUUAACAAUUUUAACUUCUCCUUGACUCCACCAGGCGGAGUUGAGCAAAUAAUCUCAUGAUGCAUUGAGUUUUUAUGUAGGCAUUAUGCGCCGAUCAUGGCGAAGCCAAAUGCUCUCAAUUAUUCAAGCCAAUGUCUUCUUUUCAAUUUCUUCAAGUUCUAGUGGUGCGAGAACACAAACAACAGUAGCAGGCUAGGAAGCUGUCGGUUGAGGGCUCGGAAUUUAGUGUUUGGCAUCUUUUUGGUGAGUUGUGGUUCUUCACUCAUCAAGUCACCCCCCGAUUUAGGGUCUGAUGGGGCGGACCCAUGGUCCGGAUCAGUGUGACUCGAAAAGAUUUUUUUUUGGGGGGGNNNNNNNNNNNNNNNNNNNNNNNNNNNNNNNNNNNNNNNNNNNNNNNNNNNNNNNNNNNNNNNNNNNNNNNNNNNNNNNNNNNNNNNNNNNNNNNNNNNNNNNNNNNNNNNNNNNNNNNNNNNNNNNNNNNNNNNNNNNNNNNNNNNNNNNNNNNNNNNNNNNNNNNNNNNNNNNNNNNNNNNNNNNNNNNNNNNNNNNNNNNNNNNNNNNNNNNNNNNNNNNNNNNNNNNNNNNNNNNNNNNNNNNNNNNNNNNNNUGGGAGGAGAAGAGAGAACAUGAGCAACAAGAAAAGUAAGGCAUGCCAUGAGAAGAUGUCAUUUUUUCCUACAAACGUGUGAAGUUGCCACCAUCAAAGUAGUCCAAGUUUACAAAAUCAUUGAAGAUGUCUCACUUCAAUAAACAAUUUUUUAUACGACUUUAAUAAAUCAUUUGAGAUUUCUAUCUAACACUUUAAUAAAUAACUUCCAAUGCAUUGCACUAUAAUAUAGGACACGAAACCGUAGAGAGAGAUUGACGGUUCCAUUGAGAAAUGUACAGGUGCAGCUUUACUUUACUCAUUGUGACCAGAUAAUAUGAAACUAAAAGGGGAAGCUGGAAAUGUCGUGAUUGAUAAUUUCAUAUCCUCGGAAGCAGCCAGCUGAAGCUGAUCAUCAAACAUCAAAAACAAAAAUGGCAUGCAGUAGUAGAACUAGUAAUGCAAAUGCUUAUCAUUUUACAAAGGGUUCACUGGUGGAAGUGAGCAGUGAUGCAGUUGGGUACCGUGGUGUAUGGCACCAGGCCAAAGUACUCAAAAGAACAGGCAAAAACGCCUUUUUGAUAAGAGUACCAGACGUUGCUUUCUGAAGAUGGCACGGAGCCGUUGGUGGAGACGGUUAAUUCCGUUUUAUUUAAGGCCCUUGCCUCCUCUGGAGCCUGAUGAUGAUGAUGGUAAGGAAUUUGAAGCGAACGACGUCGUUGACGCAUUUUGGCUGGAUGGAUGGUGGGUUGGUGUUGUUGUCAAAGUAUUAAAUGCAAAGACUUACUCUGUGUUCUUUGAUGAUCCUCCUGAUUUGCUUGUGUUGAAGCGCUCUGCUUUGAGGCCUCAUUGGGAUUGGGUUGGUGGCCGUUGGGUUCGAUCCCAAAAUAAGGUUAUGUCCUUUCAUUUGCGUUGCACGUCGUUUUAAUUGAAAAUUUUUAUUGUAAAAUUAAUGUUUGUGUCGAUUAAUUUUUAACUUCUGCAUGUUUGGUCAAAGUUUCGUGUUUUAUUGCAUGAUGGGUUGUCUAGGACCAGAAGCAUGACAUUUUGUCUUGAGUGUGCCCUGAUUCUGGAGGAGCAGCACCUGCUAAUUACAUAUACAUUUGGUGCAUGCAUAGGCACCCAUUGACAAUCUCCCUUAUUGCAUCUGUUUCAGGAAGUCUUGCAAAAACAGUUAAUUUAUUCCCUCGGCUAUGUUAACAAUGCUAAAGAACCUAUGGCAUUUGAUAAUAUUUGUGGUGUGAAAGAAAAUGCUUUAGUGAUGGCAAAUAGCUCAACAGAAAGUCAGAUGGAGAUGAAGUUGUCAACUCAGGGCACUGAAAACUCAGAUUUGUUUGCAUUGACCUCAAGUGGAAGGACAUUGAGCAGGGCAGCCUAGCAGUUGAUGCUACAUUUUCUCGCCCUGUUAAGAAGUAAAAAGGACCAAGUGCAGACACAGAUUUGUUUCUCAAGGCAUGUCAGCUAGGAUCAACGCUGCCCUUUGAAUUACCACUUGCAGGUUCUGCCACCUCAUCUCUUGCUAGACACUCAAAACAACUGGUAGCCUUCAGUUAGUUUAUGGUAAAACCGAUAGUGGACAUCACUUUCAUUUUAUGAUGUUAAUAAUUUUUGCGAAUUUUGAAGUAAUAAGAGUUUUGAAACCACCGAAUCAUAUCUCUAUCUAGUUUUUGUUGGCUGCUAAGUUGCUGCUAAAUAUAGAUUUGAUUAGAGACAUGGAGUGUGGGAUAUUUCUGUAUUUGUUUAUUCCCCAUGAAGUUCUGUUUGUCCUUCGUUCUUUCUUUGAAAUCAGGUAAUACAACAGAAAGAAGUGGGAUCUGUCAGUCAGAAGGAGAGAAAGAGAGGAAUGCCACAGAAUUCCUCAGUUAAAGGUAUGAAGCUCUAGACUUUAUUAGAUAAUUUUUGGCUUAAGAUUGCUGACUUUUUAUCCAAUAAUACAUGAUCAUAAUUAUACAUAAGGAGUGGAAUGAAGAUGGAGGUAAUGUUCAUGAAAUGGUUAUAAUGGAUUAUGCAACUAUUGACGUUGAAUUGCUUAAAAUCACAGGAGAGUCUACAGGUAUGAUGUUUGAGGGCCUCUCAACCAAAAAAGCUUAGUAUCUUUUCUCUUUAGGGAUGGAACUGAUUCUAUAUCAAAACAGCUACUUCAAAUUUUAGACAUUUUUGGCCUUUUGCAGGAAAAAGUUCUUCCUUUGUGAUUAGUUGAUUGUUUGGGCUAUAAAACACCAGAAUAGACAAUUCUAUCUCAUACCAGCGAGCUUAGUCAAUUUCAGCAUGUGCCAAAAUUUAAAAUUGUCAUUUUUUGUUACAAUUAACAACAAUUGUAGUGCAAAUUGCUUGGUAUAAGAUAAAAGCAAUGCCACCUCCUUUCUCACUAAAAUAAAUAACGGUGAGAAGCUGGUCAUUUCUGAUUGAUUAACAAGAGAGGAAGUAGAUAUAAGAUCUAAUGUUGGUUUUUCACUUCCAGGAUUUGUCAAUAACGGUGAUGCUGUCAACCAGUGGAAUGAGAUUAAUGGACGACUUGAAAUUUCAACAGAAUGUGCUGUAAAUGCAUCAACGAGUAAUGAAAGUACUCCGGAAGAGAAUUGGAGCUUGCCUUUUGUUAAGCAUUCAUCGAUACUGAGAGCAAUUGAACCAAUGGGAGUAUUUCAAAAAAUGCCUCAGAAGCCUCACUUUAAUCUUUUAGACGGAAGUAAAGAUAUGUAUCUUGAAGGAUUAGUAACUGGCUACAUGUUAACUUUUGCCAACGUCGUAGAACAGACAUCCAAGUUACAAGUCAGUGAUCCAACGAGCAUCUUUAAUGGCAUGUUUGAAGCACUUCUCAACUUGGAAUCGCAUGGGUUUGAUGUUAAGACUGUACAUAGUUGUCUUUCUGAGAUGCAAUCAAUUAAAGAAAAGCAUGAACAGCUUCAAGAACAGUUGCUGGAAUACGAAUGUCAUAUACUUGAGCAGACUAGUGAGCAAAGCAAGAUUACAGUAGAGUUAGACCAUGUUGUUAAAGAGAUAAAGAUGUUAGAAGAAAGCAAAGCAAAGCUUACGUCUGCAAAGGAGCAAAAAUGAAUCUGAGAUUGCUGCAUCCAAGUCUAAAGUUGAUGUCGGUAACGAAAACAUUCAGAAUGCUCAGCUUGAUUUUGAAAGUGUAGCUGUUUGCCUUGGUGACUGAGGAGUACUAUUUUUGUACUCUUAAGGGGUUCUGCCGAGCUUGAUGACUCACGAUGGGAGAAGAUUUAUCAGAGGAGGUGAUACAAUGUUGAAGAACAAAAAGCGUAAAUUGGAUUCGUGCGAGUCCCUUUUAUGCAACCAUUAUCAGUAUCUUUUGUUUAUGCCUUCCUGUGUUAUACGAAGAAGAUUUUUUUUUUUUUUUGGUUUUGUUUAUCCUUCUGUUUGAUAAAGUGAUGAGUUGAUAACAACAUAUUUAUUUACAUUUUCAUUGGUAUUGAAUCCCGGAUGGGCAUCUCGGUAUAAGUAUUAGCAUUGGACAAAACUAUGAUGUAAUUGUGUUACUAUACCGCAGCUACACUCAAUCAUUGAAUUCAGUCCACAGUUGUCACCAUAAUUGGAUUUAAUAGUUAGGUGUAACUGUGGUAUAAUACCACAAUUACACCAUAACUGGAUUCAUUAGCAUUAAUGUUAUUAUCAAUUUUCUACUUACGUUUUCGUGGACAAUUUAGUGACUUUAGUUAGUUAUAUAUAUAUGAGAGAGAGAGAGCGAGUACGUCCUUAUUUUAUUUUUAUACGGAUACAUUUUUAAACUGUGGUGUUUAAGAAAAUUAGUUUUUAGUUCUCUUAAAUCUUAUAAUUUUAUAAUUUAUUAAAAAAUUAACUCUUUUAAACGACUGAGUUUAAAAAUAUAUUCGCACAAAAAAAAUUACAGACUUCCACACAUGAUAAUGAUAUUAUAUAUGUAAAAUACUUUAGAAGAUAGUGACUGUCUCCUCUUAUUCGAACUUGUAAUAAAAUUGUUUAAAAACAUUCGGACAAGCCGUGAGAACAAGCAUGAAUUAGUUAAAUAAACCUUUUUGUUAAAGUCCAAUCCUGACCAUCUGUUUCAUGGAAAAUAAGGGUGAAAAAAAAAGGUUUAAUCUUAACGGUAAAGACUAUUAAAAGAGAGAGAGACAGCUUAAAAGCGACAAAAGCAUCACACACACUCUCCCUGUAUGACUUGACUGACCGCAGUUCAAAGUGGAGUCCAGCCCGUGAUAUAAGCAAAGAAAGCGGAAGGAAAAGAUGGACACGUAAAGUAAAGAAGCAAGUUGGCGGUUGUUUACAAUUAAAAAUUAAAAUUCGUUAAUAGCUUUGAGUUCCCGUGGGGAGGACACACUCACAGCAUAAAACUCACACUUUGUUGUAUCAAAAUGGAAUCCAUCAUUACUGUUUCUUCACACUACUAACAACUCUAGUUAGUUUUACUCAACUGCAGAGGAGAUAGAUAUAUAAAGAGAAUUGCUUUUACAAUUUCAAAAAACUAGGGUUUUGAAUCUGAUUCAUGGAGAGUACUUCAGGGACUGAUGAACAUCGUGAAAUUAAUGAAGCAUCAACCUCGGGUUCUGAUUCCUCCCAUCAAUCUCAAGUAAGAUAUUUUUUGUUAAAAAAAAAAAAAUUGUAUUACUUCACAGAUCAUUGUUACUUACUUAGUGUCUUCAAUUUGAAAUGAUCCGAGUAUGGCUUAUCAGAAAUGUAAGUAAACUAGCUAUAACACUAUUUAGACUUACCAGAUAUAUUGUUGAUGGGUUUCAUGGAGCUAAAAGAAUUGCCAGUAUGUGCUUGGCAAAACUGAAAUAGCAAAUCCUGUCAUCUAUUGCUUGGUUUUCAGCUUCAAAGAGUAGGUGUAAAUAAUUAAUGAAAGGUUUUUGAUGGUUACUUUUUAGGUUGAAGAAUCCAGCUCGAGUUUAGUUCAGCAGUCCAGACGACCGAAUCUUUCCUCUUUGCAAAUUCCCGUUCGGUCUUUGGACGCCUGUUUGUCAGAUUUUACGACAAUAGAAGUUCCUUCAGUUCCGAGUCCUAACUCCUCAUCUUCUAGAGCUGGCCUUCCUCCCAAACCUAAUUCAGCCAAGUUCAAAUCAUCUGUGAGAAGUUUGCUUCCUCAGCGGAGCUUUAAGGCAAAAAACAUAGCCCAUGAUGGUGAGAAGACAGUUCUCAUCCUCCCGGAUACACCAUCAUCUGAUGGUCCUCUGGACAAGCCAUCUACUUCAAGGUCAUUUUCUCUUAAUAAAAUUUUGUUCCCUUCAUCAACAAAAGUAGCACAUUCUUUACCGGCUACUCCCAUUGCAACUACGGCUCUUGAUUCUGUACAGGAAAGGCAACUAAAUAUUCAACCUAACAAUUCCGUAAGUCCUUUUUUUCUUUUGGUCUUAACUUAUCCUGAUGCUACAACACUAUACUACAUGGUGAAUAUAAGAUUUUAAUUUUUUUUUCCUGGUAAGUUAUGAAGUACUUAAGUACUCUCUUGUUUUCUUAUAGAAGUUACGUACUCAGCAGAAAAUGACACGUUCAUUUUCGGUUCCUGUAAAUAUUAAAGUCAGAAGUUUAAGGCGGACGGAAUCUGGAGGAGGUUUAAUCCGUGUGAUUUCUGUGUCUACUCGUUCAGCAGCAGUUGAGAGGAUUUCAGUUAAUGAUGAUCCAGCAACUGAUAUUGGUAAAUCCUAAUUUCAUUAGCAAAACAUGAUGCAUAUGUCUUUUUUACCAUUGAUAUUUUUAAUUGCUGUCUUAUCUUGUUAAUCAUACUUUUGAUUUACUAAGUUAACAUACUUUUUCCAGCUACCGAAGAAGCAGGUGAAGAUAUUCCAGAAGAAGAAGCAGUUUGCAGAAUUUGUUUGGUUGAGCUUGGGGAAGGAGGUGACAUGUUUAAGCUGGAGUGUAGCUGUAAAGGAGAGCUUGCACUUGCUCACAAAGAGUGUGCGGUGAAGUGGUUUACCAUCAAAGGCAACAAAACAUGUGAUGUCUGCAAGCAAGAUGUUCAGAACCUACCAGUCACCUUAUUAAAAAUACAUAAUCCUCAAACUGUUAUUAGGCGGCCACAAACUAUAGUGCAACAGAGGGAAGUUGCUCGUUACAGGCAUGUCUUAUGGUUUUUGAAGUUCACUUACUGGUCCAUUAAUUGGUCACUCUAACUAUGCUGAAUGAUGUUUGCUAUAAAAGGCUGUUUUCAUUUUAUUUUACAUUCCCAUGCAAUAUAUAAGUAUACAAUUGUGCCCCAAAUACUGUAGGUCACUCUUUACAUUGCAAUUUGAGACUGUAUAUAAAUUAAAUUCACAAUUAGUCUGACUUGGGAAACCGCAAGAAUUAUGACACUGCUAGAAACACAUAAGUCCCGGAGGAGGGCAGAGUUUGACUUUGGGAUGCCAAAUUGGGAAUUCCCUGUAAAUUUAUGAGAACAGAUAUUUGUCCCUUGGCAGUGGCUUCCACUUCGAGCAGGUUUCUGCUCUGCUGUUCAGAUCAGAUGGUUUAAGAAUCUUGACUUUGUACCCAGUAGCAUGUGUGCAUUAUUAAACUAGGGGUGGUGCUUUCCGCUCAAUCUUGGAUGAGGAGAACACAUUGUCAUUAUUUUUUCCACUUCAACGAGGCUUUAGAUUAUUCUCUUGGCUAAAAUGUUUACCAGUGUUUUGUUGAUAUCUGAGAAGUUCCCUUUUCAGGGGUUGGAGGGUUUUGGGGGUGGGGGAUGAUGAGAGGGUUGGGGGUGUUUGGAUUACUGAAUUAUUUGAUUAAUCUCUCAAAUAACUGUCACUUGGCUUCCCUGUCAUAUGUGAAUUCUAGGCAUGUCAUCUACAUGAUUGUUACUUCUUGUUACCAACUGAAGCUCUUGUAAUAAUCUCUUGGAUGGUCUUGGCAGGAAUUUUUCUUGCAUUUCAGGUCUGUCUUUUUACUUGUUAUAUUCGUGCAGGGUUUGGCAGGAUAUGCCAGUUCUGAUCAUGGUCAGCAUGCUUGCAUAUUUCUGCUUUUUGGAGCAACUUCUGGUAUUUAUCAUUUAACUAUUUCUGCUAGACUAUGAAAUCACUUUGCUAGAUUUUCAUGGCAUCAUGUUGUGGAUCCACCAAAUUUUUCAUUGGUUGCUGAAGUUUAUGCCUUUAAGUUCAUACCGUUGUCACUGAAGUUAACAUCCAUCAUGUCCUUCAGAUAGUUAAUCUAUCUAUCAGUUUUAUAGUUGUCCCAACAAUUGACCAGGAGCUCAUGCAUUUAGCCAGUACACUUAUCUUCUAUAGGUAGUAGGGCAAAGAGGUCAUACUGUUUAGUGUUUAUCAUUCAGUAACUGUAUUUGGAUUAUGCUUCCAAGUGAUCAAAGACAUCUUUGAUUAUGUAAUUUUGAUCCCCUAUGGAUGUCUUUGGUCCAUACUAUGAAAUCUUCUAUAUCAAUUACCUCUUCUGUUCAAUAGUUGAUUUUUUGACUGAAGAGAAUUUGUUGGUUCUUCUGGAAGCUCAACACAUUAUACGAUGCUCACUAUUGUUGAAAGGUUUCAAUGUCCAUGAUGCAUUUUUUAUCAUAUAAUUUUGCAUGUAUUUCAUUAGCAUUGUACUUGCUUUAUAACUACCAUUCGAAUAUAAAAUUUGAACAGGUAUCCGACUUGGGUGCUCGUGCUCUUGCCAUUUCGUUGCCUUUCUCUUGUGUUUUGGGUCUCCUUUCUUCAAUGAUCGCUUCUACCAUGGGUAACGUUUUCUUCUGUUCACUUCUUAUCAUUGCUUAUCAAGUCCUUUGCUUCGUAACUCUCAUUUGAUAAUUAUGAGUGAAAUAAAGUCAUAGUCAAACAUGCUAAAACAUUUUAACUAGGAAGAAAAACUUGUGCUACAUUUGGCAUGCAGGAUUAGACUAAAUCAAUUAUUAAGUUUGGGCUGGAUUAAAUUUGAUUGGAUUAGACUGGAUUAUAUAAUACUGUCUUAUGUUUGAUACAGUAUUGAAUUGGAUUAUGUUAGAUUAUAUUUGAAUGGAAUGAAAUUAAAUAGCAUUUAAGUUGACAUUUAAAUAUUAAUAUAAACUAUUCAUGAAUAUUUAAUAAUAAAAUAAUUAUUAACAUUAAUUUAAAAGACAAUUAGUAAAAGAUUAAAUAUAUAGAAAAUUAGUUAUUAGGUAAUCAUAAUUAUAAUAAACAAAUAUAAGUUAGAUUAGACUUGGUUAAAUUAAAUUAAAAACUAUUUAAAUACUUAAUUUAAUUUAUUUUUUUAUCACAUAUUUUAAAUAUGUUUUUAUUUAAUCAAAAAGUUGGCAAAUAAUAUAUAUAAAAGCAACCAAUUUUCGGUAUUGUUAAUUUUCAUGAUUAAUUUUAAUAUAGUGAUUUUUAAAUUAAAUAUCACAUCACACAUACAAAUAAUGGUUAAUUAAAUAGACAAUUUUUUUUUUGGUAUUGCUAAUCCCAUGAUUUAAGGGCUAAAUUUAAAUCUAGUCUCCUAAUCUAAUCCAAAGUGAAGCUUGCCAAAGAGAAGAUAAAUAAUUAAUCUCAAAAUUAACCCAAUCCUACACUUAAUCCUAGCUUCCAAACAUAGCCUUAGUGCAUUGCGGUUCUUCCUUGUCAUUUUUCAGCUACACUUUAAUUAUUUGGAGAGAUGUUAGGUUGUCUUUGGGAUAAAAUACCGGUGGUUCAUUUUGUUGAUUUCCCUUAAUGAUGUAUUUUGGUAGUUCGUUGUGGGCAGGGUUGUACCCUUUCUCAAUCUAAAAAAUCUUACUUCUUAAGCCCUAAUGGUGUCAAAAGAAAUCAUUUCAGCAUAUUGGGAGAAACAAGAGGCAUACCCAGGAGAAACCAGAAGAAAGGGAAUAAAAUAAAAAUAAAUUGAGGGGAAAAUAAAUUCAUUAUUCCAAUGAUCAUUUUGUUUGAAAAUGAAAGACAAUGGCCUAUUUACAGUGGUCAAACCCCAAGCACAACAGGAACUCAAAAUCUUAGGAAGUCUACUUUCUAAUAUGAAAGAUGAAACCUACUCAACUAAGAAAACUUCUUAAAGAAAUUAAAUCUUACAUAAACACGAAUUAAAUUAACAAUAAUUAUAUAACCUAAAAAUCUAAAUAAUCUUCCUCUUCCUCUUCUCAAAUAGAAUGAUGCCACCUGAGUAAGAAUCAAGAGCAAAACUGUUUGUGGUCUUGGCAGAAAGUGGAUAUGUUGUGUAGGACUCAACUGUUAUAAUUACCGUGAAGCCUAGCACAAUAAACUUAUGUAGCAUUUAGGAUGCUAGCCUGGGCACCAAAUUAGUGUAUUCCCUUCGAGACGGACUGGAAAUUUUUAUAACUCCUUUCCUUCCCCUAUUUGAUUGGGUUAAUUUCUAAUUUUCACUUGCUGUUUGAUUUAUCAUCUUUUGUUUCAUAACUUAAAGAGUUCCUUAAGAGCUUAUCACAUAUGAUGGUGGCAGUGAGCAGGAGUUACAUAUGGGCUUAUGCAUCCUUCCAGUUUGCAGUUGUGAUCUUGUUUGCUCAUAUCUUUUACUCUGUGGUAAGCAAGCUGAACAAACUUUAUUCCAUGAGUUUGUGCAUUAUACCUUUGGUGGUUGUGUUCAUCUUCUCAAUCAACUUGCAGCUUAAUGUGAAUCCGAUUCUAGCUGUCCUCCUUUCCUCGUUCACUGGAUUUGGCAUUGCAAUUAGUACAAAUUCUCUUAUUGUGGAGUACCUUAGAUGGAGAAUGAGCAGGCAAAUGCAGUCUCUACAUCAGCAGAUCAAUGGAACUGUGCAGCAUCGGUGGCGGCAGCAGGAGGAACAGCAAAACCAUCAGAUUCAUCAACAGCAACAACAACAAUUGACAGAAGAUCGCAGUGCUGGACCUGCCAAUAAUUCCAGGCAGCAAUAAAUAUAGUCAGAACAUAUAGAUCAAGCUACGGUAAGGUUUCAGAUUCUUUUAUGGUAGACACUUCAGCUAAGGCCCUAAAAACCUUGGCUGGAACACGUUUCAUUUUCUUGAUUACUGGUUGCUGACUCACAUAGGCCAUUACCUUAUGACUUAAAAUAUGAAGUCUGGAAGGGUUAAAAGUUAAAACUACCUGAGUCUGGAAGGAAACUUAUUUUUCAAUAGAUUUGCUUGCCUAAAAUGAUCACUGGUUCAGAUUCCAGACAAAGAUGAUUCAAAUUAGGAGCUUGGGACAAAAAAGUUUCCUUUCAGGUCAAACAGCAAUUCUAUGGUAGGCUUGGUAGAAAUCAUAUAUAAUGAUACAUAGGAACUUCAUAAGAAAAUAAAUAGCAUAUCAUCUGGUUAAUUACACAGAAGGAUGAAAUAAAUUAUGGAUAUUGGAUUUUAUUAAAUGUUUGUUUAUGCGAUUCAUAAGUUUUUUGUUUCUGGUACAGGUCAACAUGUUGCUCCCCGAUUAUGCAUAUUGAGUCAGAAUGUUUGUAAGAUCCUCAAAAGGCGACCACCAAAUGACGACAGAGAAUUGGGGAGAGAAGGAUACUUAAUUUCCUCAGUUACUGCUGGUUAUUUAUGCGGGAAGGAUCAUCAAUGAAGGGCCAUGCAACUAGGAAAUUUUGCUCAAGAAAUGUCAAGAUUUUUACAUUGAAAGCAACAAACAAGAGAAAGAGAAGGUAUCUGUGAAUUCAAAUUGUCUACCGUUUUAUAGAAGUUGCAAUUUCCACAGUUUUUUAAUGUUCUGAACAUCUUAGAUAAAUUCAAUUUUCCUUUGCCUUUAUGUGAGCAAACUUCUUCUAAACAAGAAACACACGUACACAAACAAGUAAUUAAUAGAGAAAAUACUGGGCUUACUUACAUAUGAUUGCAAAAACUUUUCUUUCGGGACCUUGUUAACUUUCAUCAACACAAAGUUACCUCCGCCAACUCAAGUAUAGUUUGAUUGAUAUAAUUUUAGAGUUAUCGAGAAGUAUCGUUGGGUUGAACUUUUUUUUUCUUGGAAGGAUAAGUAAUUGGGUUGACUUAGUUACGUUAUAAUAUUGUAAUUUUGGCGAUCCCUAAGUUACGUUUAUUGUAACAUACACUCAAUGAAAUGACAAACCGUUAGAUAUCUUGAAUUUGAAUCUAACGGAUAUUAUUAAAUUUAUGCAAAAUAGUAACAAAUGCCAAACCGGCUGAAUUGGUUAAUUGAAGAGAUGGGCUAUCGGAUGAAACAAUUUGAAGAUGGUUUGCAAAGCUUUGAAUCGAGAUUGGCAUAUACCCAUUGAUGAUUGAUUGCAUUGCUGCUGUGGAAUUACAGAAGGGCCAGGAAAGCCGAAGAAGACAGGGCCAGGAAAACCAAAGAAGACGAGAAGAGUGGGAGGGGGAUGCAAUUACAAGGGUAUAAAGUGGAAGGAUUGACAAUGGCAGGGCACGAGACUUGCAUUAUUUUCCCCUCUCGAUUUAGCAUUCGAUAUUGGACUGCCAUUCUCGAGCUCCCUCUAAAAAUUUCCUCUCAAUCUCCCACGCCCACAUCACAUUUUUAGUUCUCCUUCUCGUGUCUGUUUCUACGACUCAUUGCCCUCCCUACACUAGUCAAUUUUCUUUUCCCUUCUCUCGGUAGACAAUAACUACAACCACAACUUGCUAAAAUUUCAUUAAUAUUAAAAUGAAAUCAUUUCAGCCAUAUGGAGAGAAGGGGAAAAAAAAGGAGAAGGCCAUAGAUUAUAAGAACGAUGUUUCUUCAAAAAAUGGUGCCUGUACUUUUUGCAUUCACCACCUCAUUGUUCUAAUUUACCAAUACCUAUUGCUUGACUAUUUAUGUAUCAAAAAGAUAAAAAGCAUAUAAUUAUUAAGUUUCAGAAUCAUGAAGAAAGUCAAUUCCCAACGAGUCGUUCAUGCGGGCUGGUGAAAUUACCGACGCAAGAGUGAGUAACGUCUGUUGUCUUGUGUGCUAUAAUGACUUAGUUUCGUAUACUCACCGUUGUUUCUUUUUCGCUUGAUGGUCCAAGGAGUCGUUCAUUUUUAUUAGAAUUCGGUGGUGGAGGUCUGAAUCUUGAGGAUGAUUAUCUUGGAAGAGAUGGGUAAUUUGAUGGUGAAAAUGACGUCAUCGCGCUAGUCAAGACCGGCUGUAGAAGGGAGCCUCUCGCGUUGAUUGUUUUUGGCUUUUUGGUGACCGAUUUCAACCACUUAAACCAGUUUAAUUUUAUCACUAUUAUAUGCACUUGGCAAAUAUUUAUUGGUCAACUGGUCAUUUCAUUGAGUGUAUGUUACAAUAAACGGAAUUUAGAGGGAUCCAAGUAAUUUUACACCUUUGGUUGGAUGAUACACAGAGAUCUCCUGUGUUGCAGGCAGGAGAUUUACUCGUAUUUUCCUGCCAGUUUCUGUCAAUAUUGUCGGCAUGAUUGAGAAAAGACAUCAGAAAAAAUCUAUGGGUACCUCACAUCAUUGGCCCUCAAUUGUAGGGAUGGUAAAAUUCGGGUCCGGGUCCGGGUCCGUAUCCGGGUUUAGCCUUUCCGGUUCCGAAUCCGGACACUAUUUUUUUGUUCUCGGACCCGGAUUAAAACUUGACUUUUUUUCAUGUGGGUCCGGGUCGGGUUCAACCCGAAAAAAUUUGGGUUCCCGGAUUCCGGGUUUUGAACCCAGAUCAAUAACUCAAAACUAACUCCAGAAAACUCCAGAAAGCAAUUCAAAUGAUGAAUAUUAUGGCAUGGGUACAGAAUCAUCCAUUUUUCUCUCUUCGGUGGGUUAGCUACUAAGCUUCAAAUUUGAGGAAAAAGGAAAAAAAAAAGUCAGUUAAGUGGUCAAUCCACAACCACCAUCUCCAAUCCCAUGGCAUUUCUCAAGGCUUUAUCAGAUCAUUUCAUUUGACAGCAUCAUUGAAAAGAAAAAAAAAACAUGAUGAUAUGAGUCUUGAAAUUAAUUAAGUAUUAAAUAUGCAACUAAAGCGAGAUAUUAUUGAAAUAAUCAAGUAUUAUAUAUGGUAAGUAAAGUGAGCAAAGUAUGAUGACUGUAAAUAAUUUAAUUAUAAAACCGCAAAUACGCAAGUGUGUGGUGAAUCAAACGAAUAGAGGAGCUGAUGAUGAUGAAUAGAGGAACUGCAGUGCUGCAAGCAUGUGACAGUGGUGAACCAAACAAGUUGCGGUUGCGACGGUGGUGAACUAAACAAGUUGCAGUUGCGACGGUGGGGAACCCAAGCUUUUGACAGUGGCAAACGCCGCGAACCGAACCUUGUGAUGACGGUGAACCUGACCUUGCAACAGUGACGAACCCAGGUGAUGGUUGUUUGACUUGCCUGCUGGACAGCGGGAGGCGGUAGCCGCGGCACAACUAGGGUUUUUCACUUUUUCUUAUGUAAUCGCAAUUUGUGAUAGACACUAGAAAGAAUGAAAGAAAAAAAUGAAUUGUAAUUUUUUAAGGUUUUUUUUUUAUGUUUCUAUUUAUAUUAACUAAUAAAAAUAAUAUAAAAAAAUAAAUCCAGAUCCGGAUUCACGGGUUACCCCCAACCCGGACCCAAAUUUAUUUGGAUUAUUAAAAUUUAUUCCGGAUCCGAAUUUUUUUACACUUCGGUACAAAUUCAACCCAGUCCGGAUUAUCCUAGUUAAUCCAAGUCCAGGUUAUUCU